rnacentral:lncRNA from 1 species
CUUAUCGAUCAUCACUAGCACACGAGUUGAGGUUUACAACCUAUCGUGUUGACAUUAUUUUGUUUCUGUGCCAAUCCAAUCGAGUUAAUUAUGCAUGUGAGUUCUAUGAGUUCUCAUUUUGAACGCAUAAAAGGCAAAGCACCUUAAUCAAUGAAAGGUACAUUGAUAGGAAAGGGUGAGCUGCUUAACUACUUGGAAGACAUGGUGGGCAGCUGUGCUACCAUAAGGCAAGAAAUCAAGAUUAAGAAAGUUCGGUCCAUAUGAGUUUGAAUUUGUCGUAAACUUUGGUUUUAACAAAUUCACAUGGAUAGGAACACAUACACCGUUUAAAUCUAAGUGUCAUAAGAUUUCCUCCUUCAUGAAAAUGAUUGUGAGGAAAUGCUUUCACUAAGAAAGAUUUUAAGAAGAUAGUGAUUGUAAAAUUGCAUUCUCGAAUUCGAUUAUGGUUACGGUAUCCCUUUCCAUAAUUUGAAUUGUGAGGUUUGGCAAUUAGUCUUAAUUGUUUAGACACACAUAUGAACUAUCGAAGGCAAAGGUGUAUAAGUUCAAGAAGCCUUGAUAAAAGAUUAUCAAAGCACUAAGUAUUAGAAACAUGAACUUAAGAAAUUCAAUAAGUAUUGUUUUUCUGAAAGUUAAGAUGUUUAUGAAUACAUGUCGAAGCUAGUGGGAGCAUAAGUGUUAUGUUUUAUAAUAAUCAUCAUGAUAGUGGGAGCAUAAAUGUUAUGAUUGUAUGAUUAUUAAGGCACGUAUUGCAAGUUGGCAAUAUUAAUUAUAGAAAACAAGAGUUAUACCUUGCAAAGUCGUAAGGGUUGUAAAGUUGUUUUGCUAUAAUUAAGGGAGAGAAUAUUAUGCUUCAUUUCAAAUCUAAAGGAUUAGGUUGAGAAAUGUUAAUAAAUUUAGUCAAAGGUACAUAGUGUGUUCUUAAAAUUUCGAUUAUGAUUACGGCAUCCCUCUUCACAAUUCGAAUUUUGAGAACAUAGCAAAUAAAACAUUAUGCGUCGUGUCCCAUACGCUUCGGGUAUAGGAUCGAUUGCAAAUGCUUUAAUGUUUGACCAUUCUAAAAUUUUCCAAAUGUCGAGCGCAUUUAGAGGGAAAAGGGACUAGAAUUGGUUUUGACUAAAAUAAUUAAACAACUAUCAAAGGACAAUCCAAAGUUCGACGAGGAUUGGUCGCUUGUGAGUAGUUGGAAGCAUGGUAUUGGAUGGACCAUAUCGACAUUAUUAUGAAUAGAAAAGAUUCUAUUAAGAAUGAGUUGUCAUAUGGAAAUUAUGGAAAUGUUUCCAUAUUGGAUGGACCAUAUCGACAUCAUUACGAAUAGAUAAGAUUCUAUUAAGAAUGAGUUGUCAUAUGGAAAAUAUGGAAGCGUGUCCAUAUUGGGAAUUGAAUAUUGAAAAUCUAUGUCUAGAUUAGAAACUUUUAUGCAAAAGGAUGUUCAAAGGAAUGUACUUUGAGUGAGAGACAUCAUAUCUAAGGAAUUGUCUUGUAACAAUCUCCGAUAGAGGACUUUGUAAUAUCAUUGGCAAUAGUCUUUGUGACUUUGGUGCAGUGACAUUACGAAAGGAUCAUUGCAUAGAAUGUUAGAAUCUAGCAUAUUCUAUAAGUAGCAAGAAUUUGAUAUUCUUUCACUUAUGAAAAAGGGAUUUGGAGUUGUGAAAUGAGAAGGAUUGGAAAUGUGUUCAAUGUGAUCUAUUUCACAAAGUAAGAACCAUAGGUAAACAUUGUGUGCAUGCUAGGAGCAUGGGACAAGUGUUGUAAUUCAAGUAAGAAGUUGAUUACCCGAAACGACAAAUAAUGAGUAAUCAAUAUGGUGAUAAAUAAAAGGUGUUUUAUUUAUACUCAAAGGUUUGAGGCCAUAUGGGAUUAGUAUUAUUCUUGUGUUUCACAUUUGCAUGUUUUGACUUCCAGAAUAAUUGAGUUUAUUAAGAAUAAUCGAAUUAUUCAAACGGGCCACAGUCGUUCAUAUGUUGGAAGUAGAUAUGAAUGAAGACUGUCGUGAAUUGGUGUGUGGAUUGUCUAAAAGAGUAUUAGACAUAAGCAAAUGUUUGCUGCAACGUUCAUGAGUGCUUAUGAAUAUGAUUUGAGCAUUGGAUUAAACCCACGCUCACUUGGAUCACUCCAUGAAUUGUAUCACGAGUGAUUGGUGAGACGAUAACAUCUUAUAUUCUUGAAACCGAGAUGUGUGAGUUGUAUCUUGCAAAUCGGUUGCACAUUGAUAAUAUGUAAACGCACUAGUAACUUGGUGUUAUAAAACAUAUUGUUGUGUGUGAUUCGGUGAGUGAGUGCAAGCAAGCAUUGUAUCAAAGUUUAUCCGUUCCUUUUAUCCAAAGUAGGAUAAAAGCGAUAUCUUUGGGCCCCUCGAUGGUUUAGUGAUGACAAACGUAAAUGCUCGGCCGGGCUAGGGCUAAUUUGAUUUGUUCAAUUAGUCAGUCGUCAUAAAUCGGAAAUCGAGAUAUAGUACAAAGAGAAUGAUUUGAAAUCAUAUCUCAUAUGAUAUCUAGAAUGGAGGAAUUUAUGAUCCCUUAUUUAAGGACACGCGUAUUUGAUAUGAUCAGAAUUGACAGCGGCUUUGGAAAGCUACGAUUGCAGAUCGGGAUCCGAAGUCAUACGCAGAAUAGUUGUUAGACUUAUCCAAGUGGGAGACUGUUGGAUUAGUGUCUAAGUCCAUAACUAUUUUGGUAUGUACUUGACCCGAUGGUGCAUGGUCCUUUUGGGUUGCCUUCACCAAAGCAACUUGAUUGGAGAAAUAAAUAGAGAGAGAGGUUAUUAUGAUUUAUUAAUAUGUUAUAAGAAUAAUAUAUUAAAGGAGAAAUCAUAUUUGUUUAAUUAAUAUUGGUCAAUAAUUAAUUAAGAAUUAAUUUUGUGAUCAAGUGUAAUUAAUUAAGAAUUAAUAUUGACUCUCUGCCUUCCAAGGUCAAUACAAGGAGGAAUUGGAUUGUUAUUGCUAUAUAACAAUCAAGGUAUGUUCUUAAACCUAUUUACAUGUGAAUUCUGAUUUCCAUAUGCUAGAAUUAGGGUUUAUAUUCUUGGAUUCAAAGUAUGUACAAUAGAGAAACCUAGAUCCAAGCAUUAGGGUUUGUAUGAGCACAUAGGAUGUCUUAUGACCAAAACCCAUCAAGAAUAACUCAGGUGCCUCAACCACCGGGUUGGAAUGCCAAUAUACUAUGGGUCCAAUCAACCAGCGGGCUGGAAUGCCCCGGCCUGUUGGCUUAUGCAAAAAGCAGUGAAGCCUUAGCCACCAACCAAUCAUGCGCACAUAAUACAGAUAAACAUACUAUGAACCAGUCAACAAACAAACAGACAGACCUUACAGAUCACUAAGCAUAGCAACAUCCUAAAUACCAGGAUACUGAUCGAACAGAUAACAAGUCCAGUGAGGAAUACUAACCUCUCAAGUAGUGUAGAACUGAUAAGGUCUCAUUCCGAAUCUCAGUUCCUGACUCAAAUGUCUACAACCACCAUGUGACCAAUUCUAUCAAAUUCCCGAAAUACCCAAAAUGCCCUCAAAAGUCAAACUUGGUCAACCAUGGUUAAAGCCAAAGUCAACGGUCAAGGUCAACAGUCCAUGUUGACCCAACUCGUCGAGUGCACCAAUAAACUUGUCGAGUUUCUAUAGAAAUCAGAUGGUCCGGAAAAUCCCAGCCAACACGUCGAGUUGGCUUGCAAACAUGUUGUGUUUGCCCCAGCUUAACGCAUACAGUUGUUCCUACGAUUUAAGGGACUCCAAGACUCAGAUCUUAACUCAAAUGCUAUAAAAAAGGAUAAAGUUUCCAAAUUUAUCCUUUGCGGCUACUCCAAGUGUUCAAAAACCCAUCCAUAAAGCUUGAAGAUUCAAGGGCUUAACCAAUAAGCACAAAAUCCUUGAGAUCUGGAACGCAACCUUUCUAGAAGAUAUUCUAGCAUCAUAAUUAACCAAAGGUUGGUGCUUUAUAGACAUGCAUAUCCAAUGCAUGUCUUUAACCCAAAAUGGAUCAAAAAAGGGGAAAUAUGACCUAAACUCCACACAUGGCAUCAAAACUUGGCUAAAGACCAGAUGCAAAGCACUACAAGGUCACCUUUACCUGGAGAUUCAUAAAGUUGCAAACUUUAUGAGAUCUAUUCAGUGCGACAUCCAAGAAUAAGGAGAAAAAGUGACAAAACUCAAGAUCUAGCUACAUAGAGGAAUAAAAAUCGAAUCUUGGACGCUUACAAAGGUCCAGAAGAGUGUCAAACUGAAGAUGGGAGCUUUUCUUGCUAGAUCAUUGCUUCCUUCUUCCAACUUUCUUCUUCUUUUGCUCCAAAAUACCAUACUAGUUCACAAAUGAGAGGGAAGGAUGAUUAGGUUUCACAAGGGCUGAUAAGGGGGUUUGGAGGCUGAUAAAAGAUCAACCCUAGGGACUUAAGGGGAUUAUAUAGAGUGCAAAACCCUAAAAUUUAGGGUUUCUCAUCCAGCCGCUAACACGUCGAGUUUCUCCUCACCAACAUGUCGUGUUGGUCCAUAAAAAUACGCAGCCAAAAGUCCUUCAACGCGACAUAGUGAGGUUUCCACCACAUCGUGUUCCAAUGGAAAAACAUGCUAAAAGGGAUACAUCUCAUAACUGGAAGUUGUGAUGUUACAACUCUCCCCCACUUGGACUAGGCUUCGUCCUCGAAGCUUGUUGCGGUGAAAAACCGAAUCUCAGCCUCCGACUCCCAGGUCCACUCAGAGCCCCUUCGGUGCUACCACCGUACCUUUACCAAACGUACUUCCUUGCUAUGCAAGACCUUUACAUUCCUUUCCAGGAUAGCAACCAGCCUCUUGACAUAGUUAAGGCGCUCAUCAACCCGAAUAUCAUCCAAUGAUACCACUGCAUCCUCGUGCAAUAUGCACUUUCGCAGGUGCGAAACGUGGAAAGUGCUAUGAAUCUGACUAAGCUUCUCCGGAAGAUCCAAUAUAUAUGUAACAUUGCCAACCCUGACAAUAACCUGGAAUGACCCAAUAUAUCGGGGACCUAACUUCCCCCUCUCCCUAAAGCGAAUCACACCUUUCCAAGGUGAUACCUUCAGCAACACCAUGUCGCCGACCUGAAACUCCAACACAAAUCGAGGUCGGUCAGCAUAGCUCUUCUGUCGAAUCUGAGCAGUCUACAAUCUCUGCCAGAUUUGCUAGAUCAUCUCUGUAGUCUGAAGGAACACCUCGAUCCGCCCCAUAACCCUAUGACCAACCUUGCCCCGAAAAACUGGGGUACGAGAUCUCCGCCCAUCCAAUAGCUCAAAAGGCGGAGCACCAAUGCUGGAGUGGAAGAUGUUGUUGUAGGAGAACUCUGCAAGAGGCAGGUAGGAGUUCCGGAUCUCCACAAAAUCAAUGACAUAAGCUCGCAACAUAUCCUCAAGAGUUUGUAUCGUCCGCUCACUCUGGCCAUCGUUCAGAGGAUGAUAGGAUGUGCCGAAGUGCAACCUCGUACCCAAUUCCUCAUGGAACUUCUGCCAAAAUCGAGAGGUGAACCGAAAAUUAUGGUCAGAAAAAAUGGAGACCUUAACCCCAUGGCGAGCAACGAUCUCGCGAAUAUACACGUCGGCUAACUUAUCGGCCGAAGAACUCUCCCAAAUCGCCAGGAAAUGGGCUCUCUUGGUCAACCGAUCCACGAUGACCCAAAUAGCAUCAAAUCCCCUUGCCGUCUGUGGCAUUUUGGUGAUGAUGUCCAUCGAAAUCUACUCCCAUUUCCAUAUGGGAACCUCCAGAGGAUACAUCUUGCCAUGCGGCCUCUGAUGCUCGGUAUUGACCAUCCUGCAGGUCAAGCACCUCUCCACGUACCAGAUGAUCUCUCUCUUCAUACACGACCACCAGUAGCUCAAUCUCGGAUCCCGAUACAUCUUGGUGGCCCCCAGAUGAAUAGAAAACGAGACUUAUGAGCUUCCUCUAGGAAAAUCAGUCUGACCCCACCAGACAUAGGAACCCAAACCCGACCACAACGGGGCAACAAACCACGACUGCCCGGAACAAAUCUGGUGAUUUCACCCUUGAUCCUCUCAAUCUUCCGAAUCUCUUCUCGGACACCCUGGGCCUAAGCCUCCCUAAUAAAUCCCAAAAGCGGAGAAUCCACUGAUAUCCUCAUACAUGACACCUCAUUAUAAGGUCCAACUGAAUUACGGCUUAAGGCAUCCGCCACCAUAUUCGCUUUACCCGGAUGGUAAAGGAUCUCACAGUCAUAAUCCUUGACUACGUCUAGCCACCUAUGCUACCUCAUGUUCAGGUUUGAUUGAUCCAUAAUGUGUCUUAAACUCUUGUGAUCCGUGUAGAUGGUACAACCAACCCUAUAUAGAUAAUGUCCCCAAAUAUUGAAGGAAAAAACCACAGCCACCAACUCAAUAUCAUGCGUAGGAUAUCUCAAAUCAUGUGGCUUCAACAGCCGCGAAGCAUAAGCUAUUACCCAUCCUCUCUGCAUGAGGACUUCUCCCAAACAAGUGAUGGACGCAUCACAGAAAACCACAAAAUCCUCAGUUCCUCUAGGAGGGUUAAAACUGGGGACUCACAUAGCCUCUGUCGAAGGGUUUCAAAUGCCGUUUGCUGCUCAGGGCCCCACAGGAAAUCCACUCCCUACCUCGUCAGACGAGUAAGGGGUACUAAAAUCUUGGAGAAAUCCUGAAAGAAUCUCCAGUAGUAUGAUGCCAAUCCUAACAAACUCCUGAUAUUCGAGGGAGAUUUCGGAACCUCCCACUGCAUCAAUGCCUCGAUCUUGGCCGGAUCGACCAAAAUCCCCUCCUGGUGAACAAAGUGUCCAAGGAACUAAACCUCUCUUGACCAAAACUCGUACUUUGAGAACUUAGCAUAAAGUCAUUCUCGCCUUAAAACCCCAGGAGCUCGCGAAGAUGCUCCUCAUGUUGCUCUCUAGUCUUGGAAUAUACAAGGAUAUCAUCAAUAAACACGAUCACCGAACGAUCGAGCAUCGGCCUGCAUACCCGAUUCAUCAAAUCCAUAAAUAUUGCAAGUGCAUUGUUGAGCCUAAAUGGCAUCACCACAAACUUUUAAUGCCCAUAACGAGUCCGAAAUGCAGUCUUCUCCACGUCCUCCUCCAUCACCCUGAGUUGAUGGUACCCGGACCUCAUAUCUAUCUUGGAGAACCAAGAUGCACCCUGUAACCGAUCAAAGAGAUCAUUAAUCUGCGGAAGGGGAUAACGGUUCUUCACCAUUAGCUUGUUCAACUUCCGGUAAUCAAUACACAUCCGGUGUGAACCAUCAUUCUUCUUGACGAAUAAAAUCAGCACUCCGCAUGAAGAACUAGUCGGCCAGAUGAACUGCUUGCCUAGUAGUUCCUGCAACUGAGAUGACAACUCCUGCAUCUCGGGUGGUGCCAAAUGGUACGGCGCCUUGGCAAUCGGGGCUGCACCCGGAACGAGGUCGAUCCUGAACUCGACCUGCCUCUCAGGAGGCACACUGGGUAACUACUCCGAAAAUAUAUCGGCGAACUCCCUAACCACCGGGACCUAUGAGACUAAAAGUUGAUCCCCAACACACGUAUCCACCGCAUAAGACAUAUAACCUGCACACCCGUGCUAAAUAUACACUCGAGCCCUGGCUGCAAAACAAAACUCUAAACCCAUCCUAGUGUCAUCUCCAUAAAUAACAAGUUCUCCCCCCACUUGGGGUUCGAACUACCACGCGCUGGCCCUCAUAAUCAAUCAAAGCACCAAAACGACUCAGCCAAUCCAUACCUACAAUCACGCAGACAUACCCCAUGGGGAUAGGGAUCAAAUCGAUCGAAAAGGAUACGCCAAAGAUCUCCAAAAUACAACCCUGAUAAACCGAAGAAGCAUAAGCCCCAUGUUUGUUGGCGAUAGAAACUUGCAACGGACACUCCAACUCCCCUAAGGGUAUGUCAAACUCCCUACUAAAUGACCAAGAAACAAAGGACUGACUCGCACUCGAGUCAAACAACACUAAAGCAGUCAAGGAGUUCACCAGAGAUGUACCUACCAAAGGUACAAAUAUAAGCAUAAUGUAAGCAUAAUCAAUAAGACAGGGGAUAGAAACCUACCAGUCACAACAUAUGGUCUUGCUCAGGCCUCCGCGGCGGUAAGCUGGAAAGCACGACCUCGAGCCCUCGGGGGCUCCACCCUGCUCUGACUUUUGUCAGUGAUCCACAAAGUAGUCGGCGCUAGAGUCUGCGUCGGCCUGGCAGCAAGAAAAGGACAAUGGGCCUUCAUAUGGACCACCUGAUCAUAAUGGUAACAAAGUAUGAUGCCAUGAGCUGGAGUCUACUGCCGACAAUCCCUCGUGUGACAACCCGUAAUUUUCAUUCGGUCAAACCCUAAAAGCCAACCGCUUCUUAUUAUAAGUUAAUGUCAUUAUUUCUUAUUUUUAACAAAUUUGAAGUUCGUUUGAAUAUUUUAAUAUUAUUUUUAAACGAACGGGUGAAAGAAAGUGUCGUCUUGAGUUUUGAAUUUUAAAAACCGCAACCACCUCGUGUCUUAGAAAUUCCCGACCAAACUUUUAUGUUUGGGUUGAAAACUCACACAAAAACUGUGAACUCAUGCAUAUGUAUGAGUUUACUCCCCAAGACUAGUCAUUCUUGUGUUUACUCCCCAAAUACCAAAAGAGUAAACUCCAAAAUAUCCUCUCAAGUAUCAUCCUAAAACUCAUUCAAAAUCUUCAAACUUGUAAGUGUUCUAACCAUUUCAAGUUGGUAUAAAACUUAAUCUAGUGUUUGUGCAUCUAUUCAUCCAUUCAUUUAUGUAUUUUGUCUAGAUUUCCAAAAACACCAAGAACACCAAGAACACACACUAAGUGUUCUUGGACUUUUAGCUCAAAUCAAGCUUCCUUAUAGUAAGUACUUCCAUCUUUGAGACUUCUUAGGCUAGUAUUACAUGUUAGCAUCAAGAAAUAUGUCAAGAACACAAGGAAUAUGGUGUUCAUGGUCCAAGAAUGUUCUUGGGCCGUAAACACCAAGAAAGGCACCAAAGUGUGCCUAAGUCCUUAUCUAAGCCCUAGUUUGAUGUUUAAGCCUUCCUUGAUAUGUUUAAACCUUCCCUUGAUGUGUUUAAGCCUUGAAAAACACCAAAAUCCAACAUUAUUAGGUGUUUACGGUUUGGGGAUCUCCCAAAACCGUAAACACCCUAAAGUGUGUUUUUAUGGGCCUUAUUCCUUCCUUAGGCCUAAAAACUAACCUAGACAAUUACCUUGUUGUGUUAAGGACUUGAAAACAUGGAAAUACCCUUUUCCAUAAGGGUUUACGGUAGUAAACCGAAAGGGAAAUGCCCAUGAGGCCGUAAACUCCUCCAAGGAGUGUUUUUGUUGCCCUAGUCCCUUCCAAAGGCCAAACCACCAAGUAGAAAUGUUUCAAAAGACUUGUAAAACCACAAAAAAACAUAGGGUCAUAUGGAGUAGAGUUUACGACCGUAAACCCUUGAGUUUAAUGUCGUAAACUCCUUGGGUAAUGGUCACUAAAACCGUAAACUCCAAAGGAGUUUACCCUUGAACUCCAAACACCCUAGCUUUGCCCUACAAACACUUGGAUGCAACCCUUGUGAUCUUUAAGACUUGAAACAAAGUUUUUUCAUGUUCUAGACGAUCCCAAAUUAAUUUAUUAGUUAUAAAUUGGCUAAUUAGUUAUAUAUAUGUUCAUUAUAUGAUAACUAGGCUCGUGCGUGUGUACAAGUCUCCGUUUGUCACCUAGCACCGUAUCCGACACUUCAAUCCAAUCCACUCACUGCAAGUGAGUUCAUACCCCUUUAACUAACCUUUGAAAUACUUUUAAAUGUUCCAAAUGCUUUUAUGGGGGGGUGUGGAAUACAAGUCAAAUACUUAUAGUUAUUACAUCAAUCACAUGUAAUUAAUAACUACAAAACCAAUGAUUUUAUUACUGUUCAAACUGUUUAUCAAACUGUUUCACUUCAAACUGUUUUUACGAAUUUCUUUUACUUAUCAAAUACUUUUACUUAAACUCUUUUAAACUUAUUAUAAAUUGCAUGCCCAUAUAUGUAUAGUUAUAUAAGCAAUGUUUAAAAGGCUUAGGAAGGCCGCCCGCCUUAUUUCCUUUUCGCGCUUGAGAUGUGGUCUGGUGGGAUAUCGGGUAUCCGUCGGAAGGUUGUUUAAAUAUUAGUUAUAUAUCAUGUGUAUAUAUAUGGUCAUAAAAGUUCUUCCAUAUUCUUACGUACCAGUUACAUCAUUAGUAACUUACCAUAUAGGUAGCACAGGAUAAUACUUAUACUAUUACUAGAACAAUUAGAUGUUCAAUGAGUCAGUUCAUUCAUGAGUCAGUACUUAUUACUAUGAGAACAUAUACAACUAUACUAGAAGAAGAACAUAUACAACUAUACUAGAAAGUGAACAUAUACAACUAAACUAGAAAGAGAACAUAUACAAUGAUACUAGAACUUGUAACAAUACAUUACAUAUACAUGAAUACGUUAACAUAAUUGUGAUCCACUGUAUCGGAGCAUGCCUUCAAUGUCAUGGACCGAGUUGUAGCCAGAGUCUCUUGGAGGGAGACCGUGAGUUUGCGUAUAGAUCUAUACUGGAUUGACUAUCCUACACCUUGCUGCUAGCUACAGCCGGACCUGCAGGUCUGCGGGUGCCAAACGUCAUACCUUUUUACGACCUACAUUGUUCGUUGUUACCUAGUCGAUAGUAUGGUACAAUUAAUCACAUAAUACCUUAAUAUAAAUCCGGUUUAAGGUAGUUAGUACAGAAGUAGUUCCUAUAAUACAACACUACAGUACUACAUUAAUUUACCCUUUAAAUAUAUUUAGUGAUCAUUUCACUUAAACAUUAAUGUACAAACUAUAUUUUGUAAAUGAUAGUUACACUUGGGAAAUUACACACUUUUACAACAAACGAACAUACAAAACAGUUAAGCCUUGGUAGAAGGCUACUUUAAUAGAAAAUAUAGGUUUUUCUGAGAGAUUCAAACUUUUACAAACACUUACAAACAUUUACAUACAUUUUACAAACUUACACUUGAGACAUGUUCAAACGUUUUGAUAACAAACACCGACACUAAAAUACUUAUGAACUCACCAACUUAAUGCUGAUAAACUCUUUCAAAAUAACUUGUAUUCUCAGGUCAUCAGUAGACAGGUACCGAGGCCAGCUUUUGAGAAGAUGGAGCGCAUCCAAGACUCAUCUUAUUAUUUUGAUUUACUUUUUGGUGUCUAUAACUGUACAGAACACACUUGUAUUAAAAUUAUAUAUUUAAUGCAAUGGAUGAUGUUGUUUGCUUAUUUACUGUUAUACUGUGUUGUGAUACUUUACAUGACGUCCUCCGCCCCAGAACGUUUCCGCCGUUCUCGGUUUUGGGGUGUGACAGAUUGGUAUCAGAGCAUUGUUUAUAGUGAAUUGAGUAUAUCAACCCAUAAAAGAUAUACUAACUAUAAACCCAUUUGGGAUUAAAACACUCUGACCAAGAGUCUAUACUUUAAAUAUUAAAAUAUUUAAUUAAGUAUACUAGUCUGCAUUCAUACUAAAAUCAGUGUCACAAUGACAAGAACAAAAGUAUUACGAUUGUUAAAUAUCACAAGUGAGCUCGGGGAUGUAUGGUCAGUCCUGGGAAUGGCAUAGUCUGAUCAACUAUGCUGGUCCAAGGAGUGAUUAGCAUAUGCCCUAGAAUGGUUGUGAUAUGUUAAGAAGUCUAAAAACUUACCAACAAUACCACAAGGAGAUCAGUAGAACCUAAACUUAAAAUACUAUAGGGGUAUUUUGUGCUACUACAAGCUAUUUAUACACUAGAUUCUUAUACCUCUCUUCUCUCGUAGAUUUAAAUGGCUAGAUUCCAUCAUGGCGACCCGUACUUCCCAAAUGAAGGAAAUGCUGGGUGGAUCGAAGAAGAGCCCGAAGAUGAGCAUCCAAUCCCUUUGGAUGAUCACCUCGCUGGAGGCUUUUCUGAUGGAUCUGACUCUGAGCCUGAAGUCAACAACCUACCGCCAGUAGGUCAAGCCCCAAACAACAAUCCCCGACCAGCUUUCCUAGGUCCCACACCCUUGUGGGCAACCAACUUGAAUCGCUGGAGUGACGAACAGGGUCAACCAUUACCUUACUUUGGGGACCGAAGCUUUUACAAUCUCAGCGAAGGUGGCUUUGCAGAUCGAGCUCUGCCCGUCAUUGUCCGUAGAAUAGCUCGUAAUGUUGAACAAGGUCGAGCAGCCAUCGACCGGGUCAUGAAGAUUGAUGCCAACUCUGGUGUCAACAGAGUCCGCAUCUGCCGUCUUGAAGAAGAAAUGGAAAGGACCAGGAGAACCAAUGAGACCCUGCAGCAACAGCUGGCUGCCUCCUGAGCCGAAGUCAUGGAACUUUGAGCCCGUCAGAGGUCUCAUGAGCGGCACCUUCAAGAGGUGGUUCGUCAAGUGGCAGACUUCAGGGUUCGCCCGAGGAAUUCCCAUUGCCGUUGGAAGAUGUCUAGUACAUCUUUGUCUUUUGGUUAAGGAAUAGCCUUUAGUAUCUAUGCUCUAAGUAGCACUUUUCUGUAAAAUAUUCCUAACUUUCAGUACUCUAACUAGGAAUCUAAGAAUUGUCAAACUUUUCCGUAUGGUAUGAUAUAAGACCUACUGUUAGGUCGAUUUUCCCUGAACUUAUUACAUCAGUAAUACCAGUAUUAUUGACAACUACCUAAUCUAUGGAAAAAUUUGUACACUUGUGUUUUCCUACUAUUCUUCUAUGUUGUGAUCUCAAAACACUUGUUCAACUGUUGGGCUAUGGUUAGUUAGUCCAUGUGUCACUCUCACCCCAUUUAUAAUUGAUUCUUACCAUUGUGUUUACCUUUAUAAACAUUCAGCAGAAAGAUGCCUCCUCGCAAAUCUCCCAGGCAUAACCCUGCACCACCUUCACCUCCUCCUCCUCCUCCAGUCAUCGAUAUUGCAGCCCUGAAUGCUGCAGCAGUGGCAACUGCCAUGGCUCAGUAUCACUCUACUGAUGCCAGCAGAGGUGGAACCCCUGUUGACUCAAUUCCUGUUGAAAUCCCUGUNGCUGAAAUCCCUGUGCGCUCGAGAGAGUGCUCCUACAAGGAUUUCACCAACUGCAAGCCGAAGUCCUUCAAGGGAACCGGCGGAGUCAUUGCCCUCUCGCAAUGGUUCGAGAAGACUGAAUCAGUCUUCGAAAUUUGUUCGUGCCCUGCUGCGAUCAAAGUCAAAUAUGUCGCGUGCACCUUUGAAGAAAAAGCCCUAACAUGGUGGAACGACCAUGUUAAAUCACUAACUCCCGUAGUGGCAAAUGACAUGAGUUGGGAACCCAUGAAGGACCUCAUGAUUGAGGAAUACUGCCCGAGGGGCGAGAUCCAAAAAUUGGAGCAGGAGCUGUGGAGCCUAACCAUGAAGGGCUCCAACAUAGUCGCAUAUACCGCCAGAUUCAGCGAACUGGUGGCCCUCUGCCCCAAUAUGGUUCCCACUGAAGGGAAAAAGAGCGAGAGGUACAUAUGGGGGCUAGUGCCUCUGUAUCAGGGAAAUGUCCUAUCAUCAAACCCUGCUACCUUUGACAGUGCCAAGCGACUGGCACAGCGACUCAUUGACCAUGGAGUCAAAGCCCCAGCAGCGACAACAACCCUAUCCAUCUCAGAACCCUCCAAACCCGCUGACACUAAGCGGAAGUUCUGGGAUGCGAAGAAGAAACAGCGAACUGCCAAAAAGCAGCAAAUUGUGGCUGUGCAUGCCGCAAUAACCCUUGCUGCUGCUACUGCUCCGGUGAGGCAGUAUGUUGGAUGUUUGCCUAAGUGCAACAAAUGCAACUUCCACCACAACGGCCCCUGCCGUGAAAUGCAGUGCUCUAACUGCAACAGGAAAGGACACACAGUCCGUUUCUGUAAAUCUCCAGCAAGGCCGAUCACCCAAGUCCCCGGCAUUGGCAUGAGCCAGGCCUGCUAUGGAUGUGGCGAAGCGGGCCACUAUAAGAGGGACUUCCCCAAAGAAAAGAAUGCUGGCGAAGCAGGGAGGGUACUAGCAAUAGGCCAUGGGGAAGCAGUUGCUGACCCGACGGUGGUGACUGGUACGUUCCUCCUCAAUAACUCCUAUGCAUGCAUUAUGUUCGAUAGUGGAGCGGAGCGAAGCUUUGUGAGGUAUAAAUUUGCUCGCAUGCUUAAACAGCAACGACACACACUUAAUGAACAAUUCACAGUAGAAAUGGCUAAUGGAAAAACUGAAAGCACGAAUAGCAUAUACUUAGGAUGUACCCUAACUCUAGAUAACCAUUCAUUCCCAAUCGACCUUAUGCCGGUCUCGAUUAAAAGCAUCGACGUUAUCAUCGACAUGGAUUGGUUGAGUCUUCAUCGAGCCGACAUCAUCUGCUACGAGAAAGCAGUCCGUCUAAACCUCCCGUCUAACGAAACCCUUGUCAUCUACGGAUACAAACCCGGUGCGAGUCUUCGUAUUAUAUCAAGUAUUCAAGCACAGAAGUAUCUACGUAAACAAUACCAUGCAUUCCUUGCUCACGUUGUCGAUACGAGCCUCGAAACGAAAGAAUUAAAGAACAUUCCCGUAGUGAGCGACUUUCCCGACAUCUUCCCAGAAGAGCUACUAGGAUUACCUCCGCAACGACAGGUCGAGUUCAGAAUCGACUUAGUCCCAGGAGCUACCUCCGUAGCCAAGUCGUCCUACCGAUUAGCACCAGCAGAGAUGCAGGAACUAUCUGGUCAACUUAACGAACUGCUCAGCAAGGGCUUUAUAAGACCAAGUUUCUCGCCUUGGGGAGCACCGGUCUUGUUCGUUAAGAAGAAAGACGGAUCAUUCCGUAUGUGUAUCGACUACAUAGAACUCAACAAACUGACGGUCAAGAAUCGUUACCCUCUGCCUCGCAUAGACGAUCUAUUUGACCAACUGCAAGGGGCGAACUACUUUUCCAAAAUUGAUCUAAGAUCCGAAAAUCACCAGUUAUGAGUGCUAGAGGAGAUGUUCCAAAGACAUCCUUCCGAACUCGUUACGGACACUACAAGUUCGUGGUGAUGCCAUUCGGAUUGACCAAUGCGCCCGCAGUUUUCAUGGAUCUGAUGAAUAGAGUAUGCCGACCUUACUUUGAUCAGUUCAUCAUUGUCUUCAUUGAUGACAUCCUGAUCUACUCCCGAAGUAAGAAAGAGCAUGGUGAUCACCUACGACAAGUUCUAGGAACUUUACGAACGGAGAAGCUCUAUGCGAAGUUCUCUAAAUGUGAAUUUUGGAUCCGAAGAUUCGAAUUCUUAGGACNGAAGAAGGAAUCCACGUGGACCCAUCCAAAAUUAAGGCCAUUGAUAACUGGUCAGCACCAAAGACGCCUACCAAAAUUUGUCAAUUUCUAGGUCUCGCUGGCUACUACCGCAGGUUCAUACAGAACUUCUCCUGAAUUGCGAAACCUCUUACAACACUGACCCAGAAAGGCGUGGCCUUUGACUGGGAAGAGAAACAGGAGAGAGCGUUCCAAACGCUCAAGCGAGCCUUGUGCACCACACCAAUAAUAUCCCUCCCCGAAGGGAUAGAAGACUUCGUUGUCUAUUGUGACGUGUCAAAUCAAGGGCUCGGUUGUGUUCUAAUGCAACAGGGUAAGGUCAUCGCCUACGCCUCGAGACAGCUAAAGACACACGAAGUUAAAUACACCACACACGAUCUUGAGCUGGGGGAAGUUGUGUUUGCCCUGAAGAUCUGGAGACAUUACUUGUACGGAACGAGAAGCACUAUCUUUACCAACCACAAGAGUUUACAACACAUAUUCGAUCAGAAGGAGCUCAAUAUGCGCCAACGACGGUGGGUCGAGCUACUCAAUGACUACGAAUGUGAUAUUCAUUAUCAUCCGGGUAAAGCCAACGUAGUAGUAGACGCCCUAAGUCGGAAGGAAUAUUCUGGUCGAAGAGUCAAGUCAUUGACGAUGACUAUCAAUUCACACUUGUCUAAGCAAAUUCAGGCGGCCCAGCUCGAAGCCAUGAAACCUGAAAACAUGACGAGUGAAUCCCUUAGAGGAAUGGAUAAAAAUAUAGAAGCCAAGGGUGGCAGAGCCUUAUAUUUAAUGAACCGGAUCUGGACACCGAAGCACGGUGGUUUCCAAGACUUGGUCAUGACCGAGGCACACAACACUCGGUAUUCCGUUCACCCACGUUCAGAUAAGAUGUAUCUGGAUCUUAAAAAGUUAUACUGGUGGCCUAAUAUGAAAGCAGAGAUCUCUACCUUUGUAAGUAAAUGCCUUACUUGCACAAAGGUUAAGGUCGAGUACCAGAAGCCCUCUGGUUUACUACAACAACCAGAGAUUCCAGAAUGGAAGUGGGAGCGGAUCACUAUGGACCACAAAACGGGGUGAAAAAAACCGAAAUCCCUUUUUUUAAGUUCCUCCCAGAUACAUAACCAAGUUGCCCAAGAAAACGGGUGGACUUGAUACCAUAUGGGUCAUCGUCGAUAGAUUGACCAAGUCUGCACACUUCCUGCCUAUCAAAGAAACUGACAAGAUGGAGAAGCUUACGAGAACAUACAUUAGGGAAAUCGUACAACUGCAUGUUUUUCCUAUAUCCAUUAUCUCCGAUAGAGAUAGUAGGUUCACCUAAAGAUUCUGGCAAUCGCUACAACAUUCCCUGGUAACAAGGCUGGACAUGAUCAUGGCCUACCAUCCACAAACCGACGGACAAAGUGAGAGGACCAUCCAAACACUGGAAGAUAUCUGGAGAGCCUGUGUGAUUGACUUUGGAAAGGCAUGGGAUACUCAUUUACCCCUUGUCGAAUUUUCCUACAAUAAAAGUUAUCACACGAGCAUCAAGGCUGCUCCAUUUGAAGCCCUCUAUGGCCGAAAGUGCAGAUCCCCUCUGUGCUGGGCUGAAGUGGGUGAUACCCAAUUAGCUAGGGGGCAAGUUUCUGACAGUACUCUCACAGGCCUGGAAAUCAUUCGGGAAACAACAGAGAAGAUCGUUCAGAUCCGUGAACGAUUGAAAGCCUCUAGAGACCGACAGAAAAGCUACGCUGACAAACGAAGGAAACCUUUGGAAUUCCAGGUGGGAGAUCGAGUCCUUCUUAAAGUCUCACCCUGGAAUGGCUUAAUACGCUUCGGUAAGCGUGGGAAGCUCAAUCCGAGAUAUAUAGGGCCUUUCGAGAUUCUCGCAAGAAUCGGCCAUGUAGCUUACAAAUUCAGUCUACCCGACGAACUUCGUAACGUACAUUCUACAUUCCACGUCUCUAACUUGAAAAAGUGUCUGUCCGACGAGACUCUUGUAAUCCCACUCGACAAGAUCGAGAUCAACAAGAGCCUCAACUUUGUGGAAGAACCAAUAGAGAUCAUGGACCGUGAGGUCAAGCAGACGAAGCAAAUCCGUAUCCCGAUUGUGAAGGUUCGCUGGAACGCCAAGCGAGGAUCGAAAUUCACUUGGGAGCGUGAGGACCAGAUGAAUCUGAAAUAUCCUCAUCUUUUUGUUUAGUUAUUUGUAACUACUUUAUUUUGUUUAAGACUUUAAUUUCGGGACGAAAUUCCCUUUAACAGGGGGAUGAUGUGACAACCCGGAAUUUUCAUUCGGUCAAACCCUAAAAGUCAACCACUUCUUAUUAUAAGUUAAUGUCAUUAUUUCUUAUUUUUAACAAAUUUGAAGUUCGUUUGAAUAUUUUAAUAUUAUUUUUAAACCAACGGGUGAAAGAAAGUGCCGUCUCGGGUUUUGAAUUUUAAAAACCGCAAACACCUCGUGUCUUAGAAAUUCCCGACCAAACUUUUAUGUUUGGGUUGAAAACUCACACAAAAACCGUGAACUCAUGCAUAUGUAUGAGUUUACUCCCCAAGACUAGUCAUUCUUGUGUUUACUCCCCAAAUACCAAAAGAGUAAACUCCAAAAUAUCCUCUCAAGUAUCAUCCUAAAACUUAUUCAAAAUCUUCAAACUUGUAAGUGUUCUAACCAUUUCAAGUUGGUAUAACACUUAAUCUAGUGUUUGUGCAUCUAUUCCUCCAUUCAUUUAUGUAUUUUGUCUAGAUUUCCAAAAACACCAAGAACACCAAGAACACACAUUAAGUGUUCUUGGACUUUUAGCUCAAAUCAAGCUUCCUUAUAGUAAGUACUUCCAUCUUUGAGACUUCUUAGGCUAGUAUUACAUGUUAGCAUCAAGAAAUAUGUCAAGAACACAAGGAAUAUGGUGUUCACGGUCCAAGAAUGUUCUUGGGCCGUAAACACCAAGAAAGGCACCAAAGUGUGCCUAAGUCCUUAUCUAAGCCCUAGUUUGAUGUUUAAGCCUUCCUUGAUAUGUUUAAACCUUCCCUUGAUGUGUUUAAGCCAUGAAAAACACCAAAAUCCAACAUUAUUAGGUGUUUACGGUUUGGGGAUCUCCCAAAACCGUAAACACCCUAAAGUGUGUUUUUAUGGGCCUUAUUCCUUCCUUAGGCCUAAAAACUAACCUAGACAAUUACCUUGUUGUGUUAAGGACUUGAAAACAUGGAAAUACCCUUUUCCAUAAGGGUUUACGGUAGUAAACCGAAAGGGAAAUGCCCAUGAGGCCGUAAACUCCUCCAAGGAGUGUUUUUGUUGCCCUAGUCCCUUCCAAAGGCCAAACCACCAAGUAGAAAUGUUUCAAAAGACUUGUAAAACCACAAAAAAAAACAUAGGGUCAUAUGGAGUAGAGUUUACGAACGUAAACCCUUGUGUUUACUGUCAUAAAAUCCUUGGGUAAUGGUCACUAAAACCGUAAACUCCAAAGGAGUUUACCCUUGAACUCCAAACACCCUAGCUUUGCCCUACAAACACUUGGAUGCAACCCUUGUGAUCUUUAAGACUUGAAACAAAGUUUUUUCAUGUUCUAGACGGUCCCAAAUUAAUUUAUUAGUUAUAAAUUGGCUAAUUAGUUAUAUAUAUGUUCAUUAUAUGAUAACUAGGCUCGUGCGUGUGUACAAGUCUCCGUUUGUCACCUAGCACCGUAUCCGACACUUCAAUCCAAUCCACUCACUGCAAGUGAGUUCAUACCCCUUUAACUAACCUUUGAAAUACUUUUAAAUGUUCCAAAUGCUUUUAUGGGGGGGUGUGGAAUACAAGUCAAAUACUUAUAGUUAUUACAUCAAUCACAUGUAAUUAAUAACUACAAAACCAAUGAUUUUAUUACUGUUCAAACUGUUUAUCAAACUGUUUCACUUCAAACUGUUUUUACGAAUUUCUUUUACUUAUCAAAUACUUUUACUUAAACUCUUUUAAACUUAUUAUAAAUUGCAUGCCCAUAUAUGUAUAGUUAUAUAAGCAAUGUUUAAAAGGCUUAGGAAGGCCGCCCGCCCUAUUUCCUUUUCGCGCUUGAGAUGUGGUCUGGUGGGAUAUCGGGUAUCCGUCCGAAGGUUUUUUAAAUAUUAGUUAUAUAUCAUGUGUAUAUAUAUGGUCAUAAAAGUUCUUCCAUAUUCUUACGUACCAGUUACAUCAUUAGUAACUUACCAUAUAGGUAGCACAGGAUAAUACUUAUACUAUUACUAGAACAAUGAGAUGUUCAAUGAGUCAGUUCAUUCAUGAGUCAGUACUUAUUACUAUGAGAACAUAUACAACUAUACUAGAAGAAGAACAUAUACAACUAUACUAGAAAGUGAACAUAUACAACUAAACUAGAAAGAGAACAUAUACAAUGAUACUAGAACUUGUAACAAUACAUUACAUAUACAUGAAUACGUUAACAUAAUUGUGAUCCACUGUAUCGGAGCAUGCCUUCAAUGUCAUGGACCGAGUUGUAGCCAGAGUCUCUUGGAGGGAGUGUGUGAGUUUGCGUAUAGAUCUAUACUGGAUUGACUAUCCUACACCUUGCUGCUAGCUACAGCCGGACCUGCAGGUCUGCGGGUGCCAAACGUUAUACCUUUUUACGACCUACAAUGUCGUGUUACCUAGUCGAUAGUAUGGUACAAUUAAUCACAUAAUACCUUAAUAUAAAUCCGGUUUAAGGUAGUUAGUACAGAAGUAGUUCCGAUAAUACAACACUACAGUACUACAUUAAUUUACCCUUUGAAUAUAUUUAGUGAUCAUUUCACUUAAACACUAAUGUACAAACUAUAUUUUGACGAUGAUAGUUACACUUGGGAAAAUUACACACUUUUACAAUAAACGAACAUACAAAAUAGUUACGCCUUGGUAGAAGGCUGCUAUAAAUAGGAAAUAUAGGUUUUUCUAAGAGAUUCAAACUUUUACAAACACUUACAAACAUUCACAUACUUUUAUCACCAAUGUUUACAAACUCAUACUUUAAACCACGUUCAAACGUUUUGAUACAAACACCGACACUAAAAUACUUAUCAACUCACCAGCUUAAUGCUGAUAAACUCUUUCAAAAUAACUUGUAUUCUCAGGUCAUCAAUAGAUAGGUACCGAGGCCAGCUUUUGAGAAGAUGGAGCGCAUUCAAGACUCAUCUUAUUAUUUUGAUUUACAUUUUUGGUGUCUAUAACUGUUCAGAACACGCUUGUAUUAAAAUUUUAUAUUUAAUGCAAUGGAUGAUGUUGUUUGCUUAUUUACUGUUAUACUGUGUUGUGAUACUUUACAUGACGUCCUCCGCCCCAUAACGUUUCCGCCGUUCUCGGUUUUGGGGUGUGACACCUUGCAAUGUGGCCCUGCUUGCCACAUUUGUAACAACCCGAAGAAGAUCGACAAGCUCCAUUAUGCACCUUGCCUCACUUCCCAUAAGUGUGACCCCUCUAAUUCCCUGACUUGGACUCAGUGGCCCUAAACCACUUUGACGCAGGUUGCAACUGCGUCGAGGCCGAUCUCGACUCCCUCGUCUACAAAUCCAGCUCAAUCUCACGCUGCCUGAUGGCCUCCUGCAUCUGCAACAAUGAACCAUACCGCUGAGUAGAAACACAUUACCUGAUCUCCGUCUUGAGCAUGCUCAAGUAACAAGUCAUACGAGCCUGCUCAGAUGCAGCAAAAUCAAGACAGAACAUAGCUCUAUCUGUGAACAUCUUGGUGAUCUUUGUCACUGUCUCAGUACCCUGCCUCAAGAUACUCCUGGGCCAACCUCUUUCGCGCCACCAGCAGAACAUAUCGGGAGUGGAACAUCUAAGAAAACUGCUCCCAAGUCACAGCAGCACUUUGCUUAUCAGAAUAGGAACUGGUAGCAAGCCUCCAACAGUCCUUUGAUCCAAACCUCAUAAGGUUCAGAGCGUACCUGGCCUUUUGGUCAGAAGUACAUAAACAAGUGAAGAAACAUCCCUCCACAUCAAAUUUCCACCUCAUGGAAAUUAUCGAAAUCCGGGGUAUUCGUAUUGCUAAAGUCCCGAUACUGAAAAUCCCAACCUAGUCCAACACUUGCAGCUGCCACGGUUGUGGAGGCUACAACAGCAGUCUCGGCAAUAGUUGCGUAUCUGUCAUCAAAGAACUCCAUCAUCGCGGUAUUAAUAGACCUAAACAACUCUGGUAUCUGACCCCGUACAUUGGCUACGACCUCGUCAUGAAGAAUCUCUCUAAUUUGGCAUCCAACUUAUCUACCCCAAUCCGUCGGCCAGAUCCUGAUCCCGUUUUGGAUCCGAUCUAAACUCGCCUCAUAGUCACCAUACUAAAAAUACACCAGGGAGAUAUCAGAUAAUACACAUAACAUAACGGGGAACCAACUCCCAACAAGUCUUAGGGGUUGUGACUUCUCUGUUACAUGUACGGGUCAUGUGCUUUCAGUAGUACGGGUCUGUACUACCUUCCACACCUACCCAUAGUUGCCCAAAGGAUCAUCACCACAACCCUAACAAUACAUUUAGCAUGCCUAAACUCUCAAUCCUCACACCAUAAAGGAUAACUAUAUAUAUAUAUAUAUAUAUAUAUAUAUAUCAAAACUGGUCGGCUGACCCCACACCACUCAUCCAUGAAACUUCCUCCAACCCUGUAGCACUCGUGUAUGAUAGCUAUACAUAAUGCUAGACCCUAUAUACAUUUGAAUAUCUGAUCCUACCCUAAUCCCUUCAUCAAAUAAGAACAAGAAAUAGGGCCAAACUAAAAAUUCUCAGGUUAUAAGAUCUUAGUUAUGUAUGACCAUGAUGCAUACAUUAAGCAACUAUAGUAAUGAUGUCAAUUCCAUUAGAGAAGAACCCUAGGUUAUCAGGAAUCAUAUAAUCCGAAAAUCUUAUCAUGCAAAUCUACUGAAGAUCCCUAGCCUAUUGCUAGCAUGUUUUUCUAACACAUCAUAAUAUCAAAUAACAGUAAGGUGUUUUAGGGUCUACUUACUGGUUCCAGUUGAUCGUACACAACGCACCCUUCUUGAUUAUUUUGAAAACCAUUUGAAAAUCAUUUUAAAAAUAUUUUUCCUUAGUUUGAGACUAGAUUCGCACAAGUGUUCCUCCAAUUCACUCAAACCAAGGCUUUGAUACUAACUUGUAACAUACUCAAAAUUCUAAAAAAUUUAAACCUUUAAAAUUUACUUAGAAACCAUCAUUGUUUACAAAUUGUUUUCAAAAUAAGUUCAACAUCAUAGAAAUCCCAAAGUCAUGAAAUAAAACAUGAGGAGGUGCAUGAUCAAGCCUUCGCCUUUCCGCGAUCCUCUGAAGUACAUGAAACAUAAUCUAAAACUGUAAGCCCAAAGCUUAGAUAGUUCCCCCAAAAUACCAAUACAUAGCAAACAACACAAAUAUAAUAACAGCAUAUUAUAGACCCAAUCAACCAUUAGGUUGGAAUAACCCAGGCCCGUCAACCAUCGGGUUUGAAUGCCAACAUACUAUGAGUCCAAUCAACCAUCGGUUUGGAAUACUACAUGCCCUCAACUAUUGGGUUACAAUGCUAACAUACUAUGAGUCCAAUCAACAAUGGGGUUGGAAUACCCCAGGCCCUCAACCAUCAGGUUGGAAUGCCCGUGCCUGUUGGCUUACACACAAAGCAGUGAAGCCUCAACCACCAACCAAUCAUGUGCACAUAAUAUAUAUAUAUAUAUAUAUAUAUAUAUACACACACACACACACACAUACUAUGAACUAGUCAUCAAACAGGCAAACAGAUCUUUCAGAUCACUAAGCAUAGAAUCAUACUAAAUACCAGGAUACCAAUGUAAUAGAUCACAAUAAUAGUCAAUCAUGCAAUAAUUAGGAUAACAAUCCAAAAGGGUCGACCUUGGUGCCUUCGAACCAACAAGUACAGUGAGGAAUACUCACCUCUCAAAUAGUUUAAAACUAAUAAGGUCUAACUCCGAAUCAUAGCUCCCAACUCAAAUGCCUACAACCACCAUGUGACAACUUCCAUCAAAAUCCUGAAAUACCUAAAAUGCCCUCAAAAGUCAAACUUGGUAAACCAUGGUCAAAGUCAAAGUCAAUGAUCAAGAUCAACAGUCCAUUUUGAACCAACUCAUCGGGUGUACCGAUAAACCAGUUGAGUUUCUAUAGAAAUCAGAUGGUCGAGAAAAUCCUAUCCGACACGCCGAGUUGGCUUGCAAACAUGUUGUGUUUUCCUACGCUUAAUACAUUCAGUUGUUCCUACGAUAUCAGGGACUCCAGGACUCAGAUCUAAACUCAAAUGCUAUAAAAAAAGGAUAAAGUUUCCAACUUUAUCCUUUGGAGCUACGCCAAGUGUUCAAAAACCCAUCCAAAAAGCUUGUAGAUUCAAGGGCUUAACAAAUAAGCACAAAAUCCUUGAGAUCUAGAACCCAACCUUUCCAGAAGAGAUUCUAGCAUCACAAUCAACCCAAAGGUUGGUGCUUUAUAGACAUGCAUGUCCAUUGCAUGUCUUGAACCCAAAAUAGGUCAACAAAAGGGGAAAUAUGACCUAAACUCCAUGUAUGGCAUCAAAAAUUGGCUAAAGACUAGAUCCAAACCACUACAAGGUCACAUUGACCUGGAGAAUCAUAAAGUUGCAAACUUUAAGAGAUCUAUCCAAUGCAACACCCAUUAAUAACGAGAAAAAGCGAAACAACUCAAGAUCUAGCUACAUAAAGGAAUAAAAAUUGGAUCUUGGACACUUAUAAAGGUCCAUAAUAGUGGUAAACUGAAGAUGAGAGCUUUGUUUUCGAGAUCCUUGCUUCCUUCUUCCAACUUUCUUCUUCUUUUCCUCCAAAAUACCACACUAGUUCACAAAUGAGAGGCAAGGAUGAUUACGGUUCACAAGGGUCGAUAAGGGGGUUUAGAGGUUGAUAAAAGAUCAGCCCUAGGGACUUAAGGGGAUUAUAUAGGGUGCAAAACCCUAAAAUUUACGGUUUCUCAUCCACCCGCCCACACGCCGAGUUUCCCCUCAACAACACAUAGUUUUGGUUAAUAAAAAUACAUGGCCAAAUUUCCUUCCACACACUGUAGUGAGGCUUCCACCACACCGUGUUCCAAUGGAAAAACAUGCUAAAAGGGAUACAUAUCAUACCUAGAAGUCGGGAUGUUACACCAAACCCGUAAACUGAUAAAAAUUAACAAAACCAAAAUGGAAAAAUUAAAAAUGAAAGUUUAAAUUUUUCAAAAACCGAAAAUUUCGGUUUGGGUUCAAUUUUUGGAUUUGGAAAAACCAAAUGAAAUCAAACCAUAUAUAAAUAAUGUUUAUAUAUNGUGUGUGUAUGUGUGUGUGUGUUUUACAAAUUAAUAACAAACGCAACAAUUGGUACAUGUGGUUGGCGCGUUUGCACCUUGAAUUCAAGGUCUCAGGUUUGGAACACAACAUAUAUUCUCUUCUUGAUGUAUUUUUCCAUAUAUAUUCAAUAUUAUAACUUGGUUUGGUGGUUAAGGUGUUAGCACUUUGAAGCCUAGAUCUCUCAGGUUCUAUUCUGUCACACCCCGGAACCGAAGGCGGAAACGUUCCGGGGUGGAGGUGACGUCAUGUUAAGUAUCACAACCAAUGUACAUAGUAAGCGAAGUAAACACAACCAUUACAUUACAUAGAAGUAUUUACAUUUGUUUGAAAGUAAAGUUAUACAUGAUUAUAGAUAUAUACAUCCAAAAUGAACAAAAGUGAAGGCGAGACUGCCAUAAUGCUCCGUCUUCUCCAAAAGAUCGUGGGGUACCUGUCUAAUACGGACCUGAGAAUACAAGCAGUUUGAAAAUCAGCAUAAAGCUGGUGAGUUCAUAAGCGGUUUGUUUUCUGAAAAUGAACAAGUUUCCUUUAGUUUUCUGAAAUAGUUGUUAUCCAAGAAAAUCCCAUAUUUUCUUAUAAGAAAAGUCUAGUUAUGCAAUGUUACACAGUUUGGUUAAGAAUAGUUAAGUUAUCUCAGGAAAAACCCUUAUUUUCCUAAAAGUUGGUUACCAAUCCGGAAUGAAAUGUACAAGUAUCUACUAUACUUGCAGUGUUAAGAGAAGUAUUCUGAAAACCUGGUUAUCCUUGUAAAGUGCAUUAGUUUUAACACGUAUAUAAAACUAAUAAGUAGGAAGAAAACUAGUUACUAGGUUCAUUAUUACUAACAAGUAAAGCUCUGUUAUCUAAAUUGCGAGUUCCAUAACCAUACGAUAUACUAGAUAUGGCAAUAAGAAGUCCAAUAUCAUUUUAUGACUUUUGUCACCCUUGGACCUUUCGGUCCGUCUGUAGCUAGCAGCUAGGUGCGGGGUAGUCAGCCACGUAUAGAUCUAUACACUCAAGUCACGUUCUCCCUCCAGGAGAUUCUGGUUACAGGGGCGGUCCUCCACUCGCGUAUCUCUGUGGAGUGUUUUAGAGGACGUGUCUCCAAUUUUUAAGAAUAACAAAUUUACAAGUAAUAAUGUGACAACCUGUAAUUUAUUCUGUCACUAAAACCGUUCCCGUUAAAUAAAACCGUUGUAUUCAAUUUGUUCCAUUAACCUUUGCGUUAAUUAAUUUAAUCACGACUUUUAAUUCGUUUUCGUAAGUGUCGGGAUGUGUUAUAAACAUUAAAAUAUUUUCCGUAUUUAUUUGGAAAAUUAUUAGUUUCAUCCAAGUUGAGUUACGGCAAAAUUUAUCGGGUAUGACCAAAAGCCGCGUCAACGUCAGUAUCAGGUAGAAUUCCUCCGGGCCACAAACUCAACCCCUAUAUAAGGGAUUGAGUGACAUCAUUUUGAGGCUUUUUCUCUCUCUCUAAAAACUUUCUCUCACUACACUCUCUCUCUCUCUAGAAAUCGAAAUUGGUCCAAAAAUCCCCAUUUCAAGCAUUAUUUGGUAAGCAAUCCACCCUAAGCUUGUUGUUUAACUUGAAUAGUAUGCAAAUUCAUGUUGGAAUCACCCAAAACACCCAUGAGCAUGUGUUUACGGUUUGGGGACCCUCCCAAAACCGUGAACACCUCUUGUGAGGGUUUUGAAGCCUCAAAACAUUUCUAGGGGUUAGAUUUCACUUAGAAACUUACAUGCAUGAGCUUAGGACCCCAAAAUCGUAUCAUUUGAUGUAUGGACAUGAGUUUAGGGUCCAAGCAUGUUCUUGGACCAUAAAUCCUCAUUAAUGGACCAUAAACUCAUGUUAAAGUGUCAAAAUGCCCUUAAACACCUCCAAUGAACUUCCAUGAGUGCAUAGAACCUUGUAACCCUUCAAGAAAUGCACCAAAACAUGCACAAAUGGAGAAAACUAGAUUUUACAGUCCAAUAACAUUAUUAGACCGUAAACUCAUCUCCUUAGACCAUAAACUCUUCAAUUGGGUGUUAAAGUGCCUUUAACACCCUGUAUGGCUUGGAAUUGAACCUAGAACCUUGUAUGCUUAACCUUCAACCACUAAAACCCAUGAAUCAUGGAAAAACAUGAGUUUACGGUUGUAAACUCAUGUGUUUAAGGUAGUAAACUCCCAAGAGAUCUUCAUAGACCGCAAACUACUUUUCCAAGGUCAAUUCAAGUCCCAAACACUUCCUAAGCCAUAAAAUCAACACUAGAACCUUCCUUGGUGCAUUGUAAUUGACCUAAGACCACCAAAGCACAUUGAAUCAUGUCACACAAGAGUUUACAGCCGUAAAAUCAUAGUUUACUGCCAUAAACUCCUCAAAUGGUCCUUAGGGUGUCCAAAUCUCAUUCAAAAGCCUUGAAACCAAGUCUAGUAGCAACCCACAAGUGAUAUAAGGCCAUUUAGCAACCAAGAACACCCCACCAUGAGUUUACGGCCGUAAACUCAUGGAGAAUGGGUAUUUUGGACCGUAAACUCUCAAAGGAGUUUACUCUUGGGGAGUAAAAUCCAUAUCCAAACCAUACUCGUCCAUAGAUGCUACCCGGGUCACUCCAAACCCUUGGAUUGAAGUGUUUUCACGUCUAGAAGUGUUUACCCUUAUCUAAUUAGGGGUUUGAAGUCUAAUUAGAUACAUUUGUGUAUCAUUCCGUAUUACAUAGGAACCUCGCGCGUUAUCAAGCCCCGAACUGACGCUUAGCAUUCAAAUUGUCACGUUUUCUAGACUGGUGAGUUCAUACCCCUACCCUUUUUCAAUGUUUUUCACUGUUUUCAAGGGGGAGAAUACAAGCAAAGUACAAGGAAUACUUGUACUCAAAAACUUGUUUUACAUGUGUUGUGUUUAAUAUUUCAAAUGCUUUUAACGUUGACAAUCGUAUCAGAUAACCGUUUGAACUUGCAGAACACAUUACCGUAUUAUUUGUGAAAAACGUUAUAAAAUGUUGUAUUUUAUAUUUUCACAAAUGGUUUUCCACAUUAUAUGAGUUAAAAGCAUAACAUUUGAACUUUGAACAUGAAACUUAGUACACAGUUUUGUCCUUGGUAACACUCCACAGAGAUACGCGAGUGGAGGAUUAUUGUAUUAUUACCAGUAAAUUUGUUAUUCCUAUAAAUUGGAGACAUGUCCUCAGUGAACACUCCACAGAGAUACGCGAGUGGAGGACCGCACCCGUAACCAGAAUCUCUUAGAUAGGGAGCAUGACUUGAGUGUAUAGAUCUAUACGGGGCUGACUAACCCACACCUGGCUGCUAGUUACAGCCGAACCUAAAGGUUCAAGAGUGACGAAAGUCAUAAUGUGAUGUGGACUACUUAUUUCCAUAUCUAGUCUAUCGUAUGGUUAUGGAACUCGCAAUUUGGAUAACAGAGAUUUACUUGUUAGUAAUAAUAGAUUUAGUAACUAGUUUACUUUGUACAUAUUAGUUUUAUAUACGUGUUAAAACUAAUACAUUUCACAAGGACAACCAGGUUUUCAGUAUACAUCUUUCACAUUACAGAUUGGCAACCAACUUUCAGGAAAAUAUGGGAUUUUCCUGGGAUAACAUUUGUACAUAACCAGAUUCGUGUAACAAACCAGAUAACUAAACUUUACAAUUCACAAGGGUAACCAGAUUCUCAGUAUACAUCUUAUACAUUACCUUUCGGUUUGGUAACCAGUAUACAUCUUUUACAUUACAUUUUGAACGGGUAACCAACUUAUAAGAAAAUAUGGGAUUUUCUUGGUGCGUAACUAGUUCAGAAAACAGAAAGGAAACUUGUACAUUUUCAGAAAACAAAACCACUUAUGAACUCACCAGCUUUAUGCUGAUUUUCAAACUGCUUGUUUUCUUAGGUCCAUUUUAGACAGGUAUCCGAUGAUUCCUUUUGGCGAAGACGGAGUGCGUAGAAGACACGUCUUACUUUUGUUCAUAUAUACUAUGUAUAACACUUGUAUAACUUGGUUUUCAAACAAAUGUAAUUUCUAAUAUGUAAUGUAAUGUUUGUUUACUCCGCUUACUAUGUACAUUGGUUAUGAUACAUACAUGAAGUCACCUCCACCCCGGAACGUUUCCGCCAUGGGUUUCGGGGUGUGACAGAUUGGUAUCAAAGCCCAUGUUUAUAGUGAACCAAGUAUACCAAACCUUACAUGGUAUAAGACUAUAAACAUUAAGGGGCCUAAGUGCUCUGAACUAGAAGUAUACUUCAAAGUAUAAGUAUUUUCAAAAGUAUACAAGUAUACCUAACCGUCGAUAUCCGUAACUACAAGUAGAACAAAACAUAAGUAAAUGGGUGUUGUACGUUGCGGUUAAACUUGGGCAGUUAUGUAGUCAUGUCUAGGAUCAAUAUAGCCUGGCCAACUAUAUUCAUUCGAGACACGGCCAACAUGUGCUUGGGAGUGACUGUUGUGUGCGGCAUGCCUAAAACUUACCCAAAUACCACAAACAUCGAGACAGUGUCGUAGCGAAUCAUGAAAUACUAUGGGAGUAUUUCUCAAGUCAAUUCUUUGUAGAAAUCCUCAUUCAAGCGUUGUUUCUUGAUCAUUCCUUUAACGAUAAUAUAUCUACUUUGAUAACUCUUUCCUGCUUUAUCGCUUAUUCGGAAUAUAUCUGUGAUAUCUUUUGAUUCAAUUCAGAGGACUUACCAUCCUCUCUUUCCUGAUCUUAUUAGAUCAAGAUGCCUCAAAGAAAAAGACCCAGAUCAAAGACCAACAACCCUCCACCACCACUUCCUCCUGAAUUUGACCCUGUGGUUUUCCAGGCAGCUGUUACUGCUGCGGUAGCAGCUGCUAUGUCUCAAAUGAACAUCGGUGGUCCCGGUGGUUCAGGAGGUGGUCCCCAGCCUCAAAACCAAGAAGGUAGCCAGGAACACCGAAAGGAGGGUUCCUAUAAAGAUUUCAUGAACGCGAAACCCACGUCUUUUGAUGGCACUGGAAGUGUCAUUUCCCUUUCCCGAUGGUUCGAGAAAAUCGAGUCUAUCUUUGAAAUCUGUGUCUGUUCGGAAUCCAAUAAAGUGAAAUUCGCAGUUUGUACCUUUAUUGAUAAAGCUCUGACUUGGUGGAACGGCCGAGUCAAAUCCCUAACCCUACCUGUAGCCAAUGCCAUGGGCUGGGAAGUUGCAGCACGAGCUCUAGAACCUGAAGAUGAAGGAUUCCGAUAUUCCCACAUACACUUCGAGAUUUGAUGACCUAGCACUACUCUGUCCGGGAUUGGUUACCCUGGAGAGUAAGAAGAUAGAGAGAUUUAUUUGGAGGCUAACCUAACCGACCAAAGGAAAUGGUUUAUCUGCGAGGCCGGAUACAUAUGAUAGUGCCAAAAGCAUAGCCCAAACCCUGAUUGACCACAGUGAUGAUGUGGAGGAAGCAACCACCACUCCCGAACCGACCAAGAGGAUUGGUGAGAAAAGGAAUUUUUGGAAGAAGAAGAAGGGCCAAUCUUCUCAAGGAUCCUCAAAGAAACAACAGACUGUAGCAGUCCAUGCUGCUACUACCCCCGUUGCUAUUGCUUCUGUUGUGGGAUCUAUAGCUCAAACACCUACUAGCAGGUAUGCUGGUAACCUUCCUCAGUGUGAAAAUUGUAAAUACCACCAUAACCCGGCCCCUGCCGUGAGCUGUCAUGCACCAACUGUGGUAGAAAGGGACAUACGAUCCGAUUCUGCAAAGCACCAACCCAAUCAGCCAAUCAAUCUUCCGGAGCAAGUGUUGGUCAAGCCUGCUACAAUUGUGGAGAAGUAGGGCAUGUCAAGAGAAACUGCCCCAACAAGGCGAUAGCUGAUAGUACCGGGAGAGUCCUCGCCAUGGCAUGGGAGGAGGCAGUCGCCGACCCAACUGUUGUUUCGGGUACGUUCCUUCUCAACAACUCUUAUGCUAGUAUCCAUUUCAAUUCUGGUGUUGAACGUAGUUUUGUUAGCCAUUCAUUCAAACGCCUUCUUAAACAUAAACCCCAACCUUUAACCGAAACGUUUACCGUCAAGAUGGCUAACGGUGAGAAAGAAAGCGCUAGUGAGGUGUUCGUAGGUUGUACUCUUACCUUGAACGACCAUUCUUUUACCAUUGAUCUUAUGCCAAUUUCUAUAAAGAGCUUUGAUGUUAUCAUUGGCAUGGAUUGGCUGAGUCCCAAUCAAUCUAAUAUCCUUUGUUACGAAAAAGCCAUCCGUCUCAACCUCCCCUAUGGUCAGACUCUCAUAAUUUAUGGCGAUAAACUCAGCUCCAAUCUUCGCGUCAUUUCCUGCAUCAAAGCUCAGAAACUCAUGCGAAAGGAAUGCCAAGCAUUCCUAGCCCAUGUAAUCAAUGAGAAACAGGAAGUUAAAGACAUCGCGAGCAUCCCCGAAGUAUGUAAAUUUCCUGAUGUAUUUCCUAAAGAGCUUCCAGGAAUUCCUCCCGAACGUCAGGUCGAAUUUCGCAUUGACCUAAUUCCUGGAGCUACCCCCGUAGCCAAAUCCCCGUAUCGCUUAGCUCCAACAGAAAUGCAGGAGUUAUCCAGUCAACUCAAUGAGUUGCUCAGCAAAGGGUUCAUCAGACCCAGUUCCUCGCACUGGGGAGCUACGGUAUUGUUUGUAAAGCAGAAAGAUGGAUCCUUCUGGAUGUGUAUCGACAACCGUGAGCUGAACAAGUUGACCGUCAAAAACCGAUAUCCUCUUCCGCGAAUAGAUGACCUCUUCGAUCAACUCCAGGGGGCCAGCUACUUCUCAAAGAUAGACCUUAGGUCAGGGUACCAUCAGCUACAAGUUCAUGAUAGUGAUGUUUCCAAAACAGCUUUCAGGACUCGGUAUGGACACUACGAGUUCGUAGUGAUGCCCUUCGGUCUAACCAACGCACCGCCAGUGUUCAUGGACCCGAUGAACCGGGUGUGUCGCCCUUUUCUGGACAAGUUCGUCAUUGUGCUCAUUGAUGACAUACUUGUCUACUCCAGAAGCAAAGAAGACCACAAACAACACUUGAGGUCAGUGUUGGAAACCCUUAGAUCCGAGAAGUUGUACGCAAAAUUUUCCAAGUGUGAGUUUUGGAUUCGGAAGGUAACUUUCCUCGGUCACGUGGUAAGCGAAGAGGGUAUUCACGUGGAUCCAUCCAAGAUAAAAGCGAUAGAGAAUUGGUCGGCACCGAAGACACCCACAGAAAUCCGUCAAUUCUUGGGUCUCGCCGGCUAUUAUCGAAGAUUUAUCCAGAGUUUUUCCAGGAUCGCCAAACCCUUAACCACUCUAACACAGAAAGGUGUACCCUUUUGUUGGAGUGAAAAGCAAGAAAACGCAUUCCAAACAUUAAAGAAAGCCUUGUGUAGCGUACCGGUCGUAUCCCUGCAUGAAGGAACAUAGGACUUCGUUGUUUAUUAUGAUGUGUCUAACCAGGGCUUAGGCUGUGUGCUUAUGCAAUGGGGAAAACUGAUUGCAUAUGCCUCGAGACAGCUGAAGGGACAUGAGGUCAAAUAUACCACUCAUGACUUGGAACUAGGAGCCGUAGUCUUUGCACUGAAGAUUUUGAGACAUUAUCUCUACGAAACCAAGUGUAUGAUUUUCACUGACCAUAAGAGCCUGCAACACAUCUUCAAUCAGAAAGACUUAAACAUGAGGCAACGGCGAUGGGUAGAGCUACUCAGCGACUAUGAGUGUGAAAUCUGUUACCAUCUCGGCAAGGCCAAUGUGGUAGCAGAUGCCCUUAGCCGAAAGGAAAGUUCGAGUCGUAAAGUAAGGACACUAACGAUGACUAUCCAUUCCCAUUUAUCUAUGCAAAUCCGAGACGCCCAGUUAGAAGCCCUCAAACCAGAGAAUGUAUCAAGCGAAGCCUUGAGGGGAAUGGAUAAGAAACUUGAGAUCAGAGGUGAUGGAGUCUAUUGUUUCAUGGAUCAAAUUUGGACUCCAAAGUUUGGAGGAUUCAGGGAAGUUUUCAUGGAGGAAGCGCACAAGACCAGAUACUCUAUUCACCCAGGUUCGGACAAGAUGUACUUGGAUCUCAAGAAACAAUACUGGUGGCCUAACAUGAAAGCUGAGAUCGCUACAUUCGUGGGCAAGUGCCUGACUUGCGCGAAAGUGAAAGUCGAGUACAAGAAACCCUCGGGUUUGCUCCAUCAACCCGAAAUACCCGAGUGGAAAUGGGAGAUGAUUACCAUGGACUUCAUCACUAAGUUACCUAAAUGUCCAAGUGGGUACGACAUCAUUUGGGUAAUUGUCAAUCGUUUGACAAAAUCCGCUCACUUCAUUCCGAUCAAAGAAUCAUUCAAGAUGGAAAGACUCACGCGAAUCUAUAUCCAAGAGAUAGUCCGAUUGCACGAUGUACCUGCCUCCAUUAUCUCUUACCGAGAUAGCAGGUUUACCUCAAGGUUUUGGCAGUCCCUUCAGAAAGCUCUUGGAACUAAGCUGGAUAUGAGUACAGCUUUGAUGGGUUUUGGUCAUAAGACAUCCUAUGUGCUCAUAGAGUUCAUGGCCAUAAGACCAUGUCCCCAUGAGUUUACGGUCGUAAACUCAUGGUGGGGGGGUUCUAGGAUGCCAAAAGGGCUUAUAUCACUCAAGGAAUUAAGCUAGGUCCAAAUAUAAUGCAUACAAAGGGGUUUAACGCUUUAAAUGGACCUUUUGAGGAGUUUAUGGCCCUAAACAAGGAGUUUACGGAUGUAAGCUCCUAUGUGUAUAUUCUUUUUGUGUUUUAGGGUCUUAAAUGGUAGAGGAUAAAGUCCUCUGCUUUUUUCCAAGUCAAAUGGGGAGUUUAGGGUGUCAUUUGGGUGCCUUUUAGGAGUUUACGGCCCAUGGAUCUUUCCUAGGGGGGUUUACGGCCGUAAACUCCCAUUCCUUGGUUUCUUUAAUGUUUAAAGCAUUUACAUCUAUGGCAUUUGCUUCUAGACAUUUUUCCAAGGCCAUAGGAGGUGUUUGGGGAAUUUCUAACACAUAAACUUGAGUUUACUCCCCAUGAAGAGGAUUUUAGGGCCCAAGCAUGAUCUUGGGCAGUAAACUCAAGUUUACUCCCCAAAAUGUUAGUUCGAGGUGUUCUAAGUCCGAUUCCAUAAGCCAUUUAGCCAUAUCUAAGCCUUAGGGGUAGUUUAGAGGGGUUUUGGGGCUUAAAAACCCCAUUAAAUGGUGUUCACGAUACAAGAGUGUUCUUGGGCCGUAAAAACAUUACUUGGCCCGUAUUUGAUGUCUUAAACAUGAAUUUGUAUGUUAACUAAGCUACGCAACAAGUUAGAAUAGAUUACUCACUUGUUUGGGGCUCGAAACGGACGAUUUUGGCUUGAAAACUAAGUUGUAGAGAGAGAGUAUAGAGAGAGGGUGAAAAGGGUGGAAAUGAAGUCCACUCCCCCUUAUAUAGGGGUUUGAGUUGGGGCUCAGUGGAAAUCUACCCGAUACUGCCGUUAAACGGGGCUUUUGGUCGCACCCGAUUUAGUGGUCGUAUUUUGCCUUGGUUGAAACUAAACAUUUUUAAGGGCAUUUUGUGGGUGUUUCUAAUUUGUUUCAACCCUUACCAAGUCAUUAUAAAAGUUCCAAAUUAAUUAACCUCUUCCAAAAGGUUAACGGGCAAAUAAAUAAAGUGAGGCUUAUUAACAGAAGGAGGUUAAAAAUGACAGAAUAAAUUUCGGGUUGUCACAAAAAUCACUGGAGUCUGAUCGAUGAUGUUGCGCAUAAUCUCUGCGGAAAUGAAAUCCCUCAUCUGAACAUCAAGCUGCCCGGCUCUAGAACCUGAGCCAGAUCCCUCCAUGGCACCUGAACUGCUAACUGGUAUCUCGCGCAACGUCACCAUGCUGAAAACAUAACACAAUAAUUGUCAGAAUACUCACUGCUACUGAGGGAUCUCACACAUACUCCACCAUUCCCUGGUUUCAUCUUGGCCCCUCUUGAAUCAAGUACGGAUCCUCUGCUUUUAGUAGUACGGGCCCAUACUACCUUCCACAUCUAUCCGUACUUUCCUCAAGAAUUACCUCAACUCCACCAAGUCACUCUCCUGCUACUGAUCUCUGCUACUACCUUCCUAGGCUUGCCCUAGGGAACCUCAGACUCCACCCAAACCAGUCCUCAGCUGCUGAAGGCCUCCUUGUAAUGCCAAUUAUCCACCACCUGAAUACCAUCAAAUGCAAUGAGGCUCGAAUAAUCCUUCGAGUAAAAGACUCGUCCCUACAUUGGUUAGACUCAUACGAGAGCUGGGCAAUAGGGUCAAAUCCGGCACUCUGAGAUUAUUCAACCCUGACCACAUGUGACGUGACGUAUUCACCUAAUGGCUAACUCCUAUCACUCAGAGUCCCACAAAGCACAAAGCAAGAAGCAUUCGGAUAAAGGAAACAUACUCAUGCAAAACUAUUCUCAUAACAAGAAACUAUACUAGCAUACAAUGCUAAGGUCAUACUAUCAGGCAUAACCUACACAGACUAUCCUACUACUGUCUACUCAAUUCUAGGAUGCAAUUCUUCUGAAACACAUAAAGCAGACACAUAAGGCAUCCUCCUAGAUCCUUAGUCCUAUACUAGCAUGCUGUUCUACUGAAACUGAAACUGAACUCAUCUGAAACUGAAACUGAAACUGAUAACAUAACUUGUACGGGUAAUUUGGGAGUACUUACUUGAGCUCGGCUGAUUGCAUGCACCACACCCUUUUUUUCUUUUCAAAGUUCUUUUCUUUCUAACAAUUCUUUUCGCUUUUCCUAAAACUCUUUUCUUUUCUCAAAGUUCUUUUCGAAAUUGUUCUUCUUUUGAAAACCUUUUUACCGUUUCCUUAGUUUGAGUUCAGACACAACCGGAGUGUAUCCGAAUCCCUCAAACAAAGGCUCUGAUACCAACUUGUAACAUCCAAAAAUACGACGAAAAAAUUUUUGUUUUAAUAAUAAUAAAAUCAUAUACUGAACAUCAUAUCAUAAAACCAUACGUCAAAUAUCUCAAAUCAUAAUAAAAUAUCGUGAAACAACUGUAUCAAAUCAGACUAAGAAUCAAAACAAACUCCCAUGACAAAAACUGAAGUUGUGGUGUGUGCGAUGCCAUCAUCCCGAGCUCUUCCCUUUACUUGCGGAAGUACCUGAAACCAAAACUGAAACCGUAAGCACGAAGCUUAGUGAGCUCCCCCAAACUACCACAUACCAUACAAUACAUAUAAAUCACAUACUGGGCCUUGCCCACUGCAUCGGACCGAAGUCCGGAAACUGCAUCGGACUGAAGUCCGGAACUGACUGCAUCGGACCGAAGUCCGAAAACUGCAUCGGACCGAAGUCCGGAACUAACAGCAUCGGACCGGAGUCCGGAAUUGUCUGGGGCCUUGCCCCCUGCAUCGGACCGAAGUCUAGAAACUGCAUCGGACCGGAGUCCGGAACUGUCUGAGGCCUUGCCCCCUACAUCGGACCGCAAUCCAGAACUGACUGAACAUAGCAUAGCGUAAACAUAUCAACUAGCAUAACCAUAUAUACUGCAUACUGCAUCGGGCCGUAACCUAGAACACUUAACACAUAAAUCCUAUCUGAGCCACGAAGGCAUCAGAUAUACUCACUACUGCACCGAACCGAAGUCCGGAACUGCUGCCAACUUAACGGGUCGGCAUUGUGGCCGUAGACCCGUUCCUACUAGACGGAAACUCACCUCGUAAUCUGGCUACUGAAUGAACUGCUCGGGAAACUGUCUGCUGCUACUUCGGUAUCUCCCCGACUACAAUUUCCAUAAGUACACCCAAUCAAUUACUCAUAACUAUAUUGUGGGUAAAAUGACUAUUUUACCCCUGGUCAAAGUCAACCUAUUGGACAAAGUCAAUAUACAGUUGACCUGACUCGUCGAGUUGGGUCACUAACUCGUCGAGUCCUUACUCCCACUUUCUUGCUUCUGAUCGCUACUACUCGCCGAGUUUGGCAUAGACUCGACGAGUUCCUCUUCGCUUCUAUCACUCAGUCAAUCUGCAUCCGACUCGCCGAGUUGUAUGAACAACUCGUUGAGUCCUCCUUCAACACAUGAAUACUCUAGCUCUGACUCACCGAGUUGUAUGAACAACUCGUCGAGUCUGUUCUUGAGGUAUGAAGAUUACCUUCGACUCGCCGAGUCAGGGCAUUGACUCGCCGAGUCCCUACAUGAAUGAGUCCGAUCUCCGACUCACUGAGUCCACCUAUCACUCACUGAUUCCACUCGGCAUGACACAUGAAGCGGAAGAAAUCGAGGACUCGCGACCCGACUCGCCGAGUCUGAAGAACAACUCGCCGAGUCGGUUUCAUGCAACACUACUCCGAUGAUUCUGCUCAAAACUGAUGCAUGCAACUUACAGAUCUAGGUUCCUAAAGCUUGAUUAGCCUGUAAAGUUUCCAACUUUACGUGUAAAUAUGCAUCAAUACGGGUUUAAAGGCUCAAAAUGUACUAGAAGGAUAGAUCUAGGGUGUUCAUGCGAAAAGGGUUCCAUAAAGGCAGAAGAUUUGAGCUUCUGGAGCUCAAACAUAGAUAGAUCUGAAGGCUACUCGACAACACAUGCUUUCAAUAUUACUUACUAAGCCAAAAAUGAUAAAAACAAGCCAAACAAGAGAUCUAAUUGAGGAAUGACAAAGGUUUGAGCUUGAUACCUCAAAGAAGAUUCUGAUACCACCACAAACUCAGAUCUAACUGCUUCUCCCUUGAUUCCUCCUCUUCUCUUCUCUUCUCUUCUUCUAUUCCACAAAUGAACCACAACUUCACAAAGUGAGAAAAACACACCAAAAUGAUAAGGGUGGCUAGGGUUUUCGUAUGAGGCUCUUCUGUGGGUGAUGGGGGCUACUGAAUGCCCCAAAGGGUCGUUUAAAUAGGAUACAUACCCGGGGAUUUAGGGUUUCAUUCAGACUGAUGGACUCGCCGAGUCCAGGAUAUGGACUCCCCGAGUCGCCAACUUAAACAUGCUCGAAAUCCCAUCUUUACUCGACGAGUCAGGCUACUGACUCGUCGAGUUCCUCUUGAAACUUGAUUAAAUAAUAAUAUUAAAUAACAUACCAGAAUCGGGGCGUUACACCAAUGCCAAUUUUCCGGCGAGACACCACACUCUCUUCCCUCUUCUCUGUUUGAAGUUAAAAACACAGAUUCACAUGUCUAUGAGCGAAUCAAAUCCCCUCCCUUCCUUAUUUCAGUCAUCGAAAAACAACGUCCGACAACCACGACCUUCUUGAUUCUGUGUUUCAGAUUCAGAAAUGUAUAUAGAAACCUUUUCUGGAUGUGUUUGAUUUGUUCUUGUUCCAGAUUUGGAUGUGUUUUCUUUGUUCCAGAUGGAACAAAAGAACAUUCAACAUCGCCCACAACACCUCACUACCAGAAUUGAAACUGGGGUUGAGGUUGUUUGAGAACUGAUACAAAAAACUCAGAUAACAUCGAUUUCUAAAUCUAAGCAAGCCAUAACAAACCUGUAACAAAUUUUGUCUUAAGACCUCUUAAAAUCCAAAUCAGGGAAGGAAUCACUUCAUCGACGAAUCCAUCAGAUGAAUAAAACAAAUCCAUCAGAUUUCUUGUUCCAUCGUCAACAUAUCCAACUUGACAAAGGAGAGAAUGAUGGAUUUUUGUUCUUCAAGUACAUGAGGGUUACCGGCAACAAAGAGAUAGAGGCGGUAGGGUUUUUACACCUUCCAUUUUUGUUCCUAUUCAUCGGAAAAACUUGGCAUCAACGAAGAUGGUUACGGUGGAGGCGGCAUACUGAUUACCGACGACGACGGCGACAUCCGAGAGGUUGCAAGCGAUGGUUAUUUCCGGUCGUCGGUCAUGCAGCGACGGUGGAAGGUUGUGCAAAUUAGGGUUCUUCAUUGUUUCUUGAGAAAGAGAGAGGGAGUAUAGAAUGUGUGGAUGAGGGUUAGAAUGGGAUCGAUCAGAUGGGAUAUGGGGUUGUUUAGCCGUUUUUUUUUAAUUUUCUUUUUAAUGAUAAAAUAAAAAAAUUAAUGAUAAAUAAUUUAAAAGGAAAACUAAUAAGGGUAAUAUGGUAAGCACCGCGACAAAAUCUAAAUAUAAGGAUCGUCCGAAUUAAAAAAAUUGUUAAGGACCAAACAUGAAAAUUACACCAAAACACAAGAUGAUACGUGUAAUUUACCCUAGAAAAAAAAAUCGACCCAGAAAACUUUAACAAUCUCAAAUGUAUAGCCGACAUAGAGUGAAAGAGAUAAGGAUUGUUCUUUAAUACAUCAUUCUACCUUUUCACUUAUAAUUGUUUCAACCUGUCUUAUUUUCUUCUUCUGUAAUAUUCCUUUGAUCGCCCUAUAAUCUCCUACAUGGAAGAGUUUGAUCACCUCAAAAUUCAGCUGAAGGACAUAACAGAAGCCACCGACAACUUCAGUGAAAGCAAGCGAAUUGGAAAGGGUGGGUUUGGAGUCGUGUACAAUGGAGAACUAUCUCUCCCGAAGGGACGAACUACGGUUGCUUUUAAGCGAUUAGACCGUAGACUAGGUCAAGGGAAUAUAGAGUUUUGGAAGGAGAUCAUUACCCUUUCCAAAUACAGACAUGAAAAUCUUGUCCCUCUUAUGCAUUUUUGCAUUGAGGGUGAUGAGAGGAUCCUUGUAUACGAAUAUGCAUCUCGUGGUAGCCUCGAUCGCUAUCUAAACCAAAUUAGUGUGACAUGGAGCCAACGUUUGAAGAUAUGUAUUGGCGCUGCACGUGCACUAAACUUUCUUCAUGAUCCCAUGGAGACACAACAAAGAGUUCUUCAUCGAGACAUCAAAAGUUCAAACAUACUUUUGGAUGAAAAAUGGACAGCUAAAGUUUCUGAUUUUGGCUUGUCAAAACUUGGCCCUGCUAACCAACCACAAACAUAUCUUUUCUCCAAUGCUGUUGGUACGCCUGGGUAUUGUGAUCCGUUGUAUUUGGAAACGGGAUUUUUAUCAAAAGAAUCUGACGUCUAUUCUUUUGGAGUGGUGUUGUUUGAAGUAAUGUGUGGGAAGUUAUGCUACGAGUACUCUAAUGAUAAGAUAACAAUUUUAGUGCCUAAGUGGAAAAAAUGUUAUGAAGAGAAGAGAUUAGAUGAGAUUAUCUUUCAUGGUCUAAAAGAAGAAAUGGGAUCGAGUUCUUUGGAGUCCUUUUCUUCGGUCGCAUAUAAAUGUCUUGAGAAGGCUUCUGAGAAACGACCAAUGAUGGCUGAAAUAGUGAAAGAACUUGAGUUUGCACUUAAACAACAAGUAAGUGUUCUAUCUAGUUCGAUUUCUUCCAUGUUUAGAUUUAUUGUUCAAGAUUGUUCUUGAAAUAUAAUAUUUAUACAGGAGGUUUUUGAAGAUCUCGGAAAGAAAUUGGACUUUGAAGAAAUGAUCAGGAUUGCUCAUCUUGCAGUAGCUCCUCUAUCUUACAAAUCUCAAAGUCAACUGUACACGCUUUUCUUGAAAGGAUUCCUCGUUGGCGAUGGCAAAACAGUAAUCCGUUUCUUUUAUCAUAUGAUUCCACUUUGAAUAACGACAAUAUUAACAACCGAUUAAAAUCCAAUACAGUGGAGGUUGAAUUUACUUUUUUAUUUAUUCACAACAGUUUUUUAAAAUUGAAUUGUUUUGUUGGGCAGUGGAUAUCAAUAAAUAACAGUGGAGAAGUUAUCGAAAUGAUAUGUUCAAAAACGUGUAUCUCGGAACACCAACUUCAACCUUAUUCCACAAAAGAUUCGAGGUUAGUGAAUAUGCUUAUUAUCUACUGGUUUCCUUUCUCUUUUGUUUUAAUAAAUUAUAUAAAGAAAAUAUUUAAGAAAAGUACGUUUUUUUUUCUCAUCUCCUAUAUAUGUUCUCACAUUUAAGUUUUUUGUCGGUAAUUAUAUAUAAAAACAUCAUUUUAUUUUUCUGCUUUUUUUUUCUUUUAGUUGAUCAAUUAUUAAAAUAAAUUUAUAUUAGUCCUCUUCAACUUUUAUGGAAGACGGAGUUUUCUAAGCCACACACCUUUCCUAUUUCUUAUUCUGAAUACAUAUAGAUUUAUCUCUUCAACGUUGACUAGUUAAUGGGGUGCUCACCCUUUACUUUAAGAUAUUUCUCAAUACUUAAUAUAUAGGUGCUUUUGUUUUUUUAAAUUUAAAAAUCCUUACAGUCUUUUCUAUAUCUUUAAAAUAAGAUGUGAACCAAAAGAUUUAUGUAAAAAAAUGGUUUAUUUUUUAAAAAGUGCAAUCUUCAUAAAUAAUAUUAAAUCAUAUUAAUUAUAAUUAAAUUAUUGAUUUAAUUUAAUUUCUACUAUAUAGUUUUCAUUGGGUCUUUAUUAAGCUACUAUAAUUUAAUUUAGUUUCUACUAUAUAGUUUUCAUUGGGUCUUUAUUAAGCUACUGAUUAGCUUGGUGUUCGUAACCUAUUUUAGAAUGUAAUUCUUGUUUGUAAUAUACAGUAGUUGUUAUCAUAUCCAUAUAUAGGCAUAUAUUUACUCUCCACCCAUUAACAGAAUUAUAUAUUUUACAUUGUUUCUAUGAAAUUAAUCCGACAAUUUAAGUUAUUUUUAUACAAGUGUUAACAUUUAAAUUAACCAAAGACAAAAGCCUCCAUUAUUCUCAAUAAUGAAAUGCAUGAAUGAAUGAAAUGUUAUAAUUUAAUACAUGUGAUUGUAAUGUUUGCAGGUUUUUGAAUGUCUUAUUGUGCACAAUAAACAAUAAUUUCAAAGUGAAUGUGAGCACCCAAUUUUUGUUACCCGAUAUUACAUACAGCGUGAACCUUGUCUUCAAACAUUUUGGUAUAGAUAAUGGGACAUAUGUACCCUUCAAAUACAAAUUACAUGAGGAGAGAGACUAUCGAAAUUCAUGUCUUGCGCAUGUAAGAGAUGAUGGAUGGCUAAUGAUGGAAUUAUAUCAAUUUAGAAGCAACUGUAAGGAACAUAAUGUUAGGAUCGAAUUUGUGCGUCCGUUUCGUAUUGCUUCCUCAUUCUUUAUGUACAUACUUGAAGGCAUUGAAUUUCAUCCUGUAAAACAUGCAACUUAACCAAUAAAUUUAUUGUGAAUAGAUUUUUAGGUAUUAUUUUGAGCUUUAAAUUUCAUAUUUUUCAAAAAUAUAGUUGUAACAGCUUACGACAUAAAUCUUUUUGGAGCAUAAAUGUCAUCCAUUUACUUUGGGAGCUUAUUCUUUUCAAGGAUUUUUUUUAAUACAACAUUAUUACUCUCAACCAAUUUUAAUUUUAAUUUAAGGGUGAUGCUAAAAAUAACCUUUUAGGGUUUUUAUUACCUUGCAUUCUCGUCCGAAAUUUUUUCUCUUUUUCUUGAGAGGUGUUAUUCAGUUUAGUUUAUUGGUUUUCAGUUUAUUCGGUUUUCUAAAAUCUCUAAAUUACUAUAUGCAAACCAAAUAAGGUUCGGUUUAAUCAGUUUUUUAUUAUUCGGUUUUAAUUUUUUCGAUUUGGUUUACCAGCUCAACCGAAUAAAAACAAUGAGAUCAUUAUGUAAAAACAAAUUAAACAUGUAUAUAUUAUUUCUAGAAGAAUCUCUUACUCCUUCUAGCUGUGUUAUAGAGAGAAAGAUUAAUCAAGCCUAUAUUUUAUUAUUAAACAUGGAUUACAUCUUAAUGUUCAUGACUCUAAAUCAUUUUUCAGAUUCAAGAUCUGAUAUAACAUUUUGGUAGUUGAUGGUUUAACUAGAAACCAUCAAGAACCAUCAAUGCACUACAAAAAAUAUGCCAAUUAGUGACCAAAACGAAAUGGUCACUAACAAUAGAAUGAGUCGUCACUAAAUGAUUUAGGGACCAAAAUUUUGGUCGUCACUUUUCGUCACUAUAGGUCCGUCACUAAACCGAUUUAGUGACCAAAUAUAAAUAUGGUCACUAACUAGUGACUAAAAUAUAGUCGUCACUAAAUCUGUGACAACCCGCUUCGUCACUAAAUGUUGUCACUAAUCAAUGAAAGUCGUCACUAUUUUAUCUACUUAGUGACCAAUAAAAGUCGUCAUUGUUUUAUCCGAUUAAUGACCAUAGAAAGUGGUCACUGGUUUAUCUAAUUAGUGACUAUAACAGGUCGUCACUGAUUUAGCCUUUUAGACAAAAAAAAAAAGGGGGGGUCAAUAAUUAAUAAAUUAUUGAAAUAUUAAAUAUCAUUUUUAAAAUGAAAUAAAUAAUAUCCAAUUAGACCAAAGACAAGGAAAAUGUUAUAAAUGUUUAUAAUACGACAACAAUAACCAGAUAAAUCUUCAUAUAAGAACGGAUGAUUUCCCACCUAAAUUAUACAUGGAAUUAUAGAGUUGCUAACACCACAAAAGCAAAAUAGAAGUAAUCAAAUGAAAAGUUCCAUUUGUUGGGCAUCCUUAUGGAAUACUUUUCAGACUCCUGCAAAAUACAAUGAUAAAAUGGUCAUUUACCAAAUAGAAUGGUCAAAUGGUCAUUCAUUAAAUAGAAGGGUAAAAUGGUCAUGUACUCAAAGGAGAGUAGGAUAUUGUUUCUUUUGUUGGUAAGCAUUGUUUCUAAAUAGAAGGGUAAAAUGAUCAUUUGCUCAAACAAGAGUAAGAUAUUAUUUCUUUUGUGAGUAAGCAUUUUUCUAAAUAGAAGGGUUAAACGGUCAUUUAAUCUAACAAAAGUAAGAUAUUGUUUCCUUGUUAGCAAGCAUUGUUUUUAGAUAGAAGGGUAAAAUGAUCAUUAACCAAAGAGAAGGGUAAAAUGACCAUUUACUCAAGCAAGAGUUAGAUACUACUUCUUUGUUAACAAGCAUCAUUUCUAAAUAGAUGGGUAAAAUGGUCAUAUUAUAUGGUAAGCUAUCUAUAUAGGUGUCUCUAUUUUACUUAAUAAAAAAAGUCAAGGAAAAUAAAAGGGUAAAAUGGUCAUAUUAUAUGGUAGUAGGAAUGGAGGGUUGUUACCUUCAUAUAAGGCAAUGCAUUAUAGAUCAUAGCAAUUUCACUUUAGAUGCCAGACAGAUAUAACACAAGAAAGGUGCUAUACCUACACUCACACAACCAAAAAUUAAGAUUUUUAUAAAAGAGAGUAGAAAAAUAAUGAGAAAUAAAUUAUUGAACCUAGUUGACCAAAGAAUGAAGGUCAAACCUGAGCCAUAAAAGCCAGUAUGGAGUAGAACCAAAUGCCUCUUUUGUCCCAAAGAAAGAGUAUCUAAUAAUCUAAUUAUCAACACCAUAAAUAAUAUAUGGUUACAAAAUAAUGAAAUCAUUUAUUUUUUUCUUCCAUUUCUUCAAGUUCAAAUAUUUUUUUACCUCAGUGAUACUCCAACUAAUGACCAAAUAGCUAACAAUAGGAUGUGUUUGAACCUGUCACAAUCAAGUUUUUUUUUAUCUCAGUAAAACUGUAAUAAAACUGAUAAUUAUUAACUAAAAGGAAGAAAACUCUAACCUCAGGAAAACUAUAAAGGAUUCCCCACACUACAUACAAUCUUGAACUUAUUUGAGGCAAUGUUGCUGAAAUUGGGGAUCUUACCAAGCCUUUUUCAUGCCAAAAAACAACAUAAAAAUAAGAAAUUUAUACUUUCCUGAAAUUUAAAUUAUGGAAAUGAAAUAUGAAGUCAUAGCUUAUCAAUGAGAUAGAAGUGUAGAACUUACCUAUGAAACCAUGUAGUAUCUGUUUCAAAAAGUAAGCAAACAAGAAAAGAAAGAAAGACAAGUUAAAAUAUAUCAAAAAGAUGAAAGCAAAAGGGAAUAUUUUUAACAAGAAAAGAAAGAGAGGCACCUCAGAUAAUGGAACACCUCUAGCUGUAACAAAUUCAUCCUUGAAUUGGCCGUAAAUUAAUUCAAAUACUUAAUAGGAUUACAAAAACAAAUACUAUGACAAAAAUAUUAACUUGUUGAAUUGAAAAAAAUAAAAACAAAAAUUGACCAAUUUUGACUUUUAUGGUACCUUUCCUUUUCACUAAAAAAGAGCAUUGUUUUAAUAGAGUAGCAAUUGACAUUAAUGAGUUAUUUGAAAUGGAAGCCCAUAAUAUAUCUUCAUCAAUACCCUACACACAAAAUUUAUAAGAAUUUCUCGUAAUAUAAUUCGCAUUUUUCGAAUUAAAAUAAUCAUACAAAGUUACAAACCUCACGAUUCAACAAGUAUUUCCAAAAUCGUUUCAUGGUCCCAUAUUCAUGAGGAUAUGAACGACCUACUUUUUGUUUCUGCAAAAUGUAUACCAACAUAAAAUAUGAAACCAAAUUUUAAAAUAUAUAUAUAUAUANUUGUGUUGAGAUAGCAAUGCCUUUAUAUCGUCGUUUGAAAGAAAGAUCGGGAGAAAAGUCAACAAUAAGUGUUCCCGAAUUGAUAUGUAAGUAAAGUUAUACAAUUAAAAUAAAUAAAUAAUAAAGAAAUUGGUUUCUUGCCUUUAUAAAUAGAAUCAAAAAGAUCACGGGUCCCCAAGCAGAUAAGCAAAGAAUUACGGGCCCACUAAGUCCCCAAUGUGUAACUAACAUUGGCCCAACCUAAAUUCAAGAAAUAGCAAUGUACUUUUAUUUAUUUGUGUAUUUAUAAAUUUAUAAGUUUUUUAUAAAAUCCAUGAGCAAAACUUACUUGGGUAAGCUGUGGAAUAUUCUUCUUCAAAGAUUCAAGCUUUAAACUUGCCUUCACUUUCAGGAAUGUAAUCAGAAAAAAAAUGUUUCAAAUGCUCAUCAUCUUUAAAGAAAAAAACAACGAUAUUACUUUUUAUAUAAUCAUAAUAAACUAUAAUCAAUACCCCAGAUAACUCUGUCAACUGGAUAUCAUCAAUCUUGAAUGUAAAUAUACUUGGAAUCGGUUUAAUUAUAGAAUGUCCAAGUUUAUUAGCAAGAUUAUAACCCUGUAACAAAACAAUCAUGUCUUAGAAAAAUUUAAUCAUCAUAUUUUGAUAUAAUAAAUAUUUCAAAAAGUGUAACAAAAAACCUGUUGACUGCUGCCACUAGCAAUUAAUCAGUAAUCAGCUUCAAAAAAAUCCACAUAAUCAAUCGUUCGUUUCUCAAUUUUGAGUAUGAAUUUUCCACUUUGAGAAAUAGAAGCUGAUGUGACAUAUUUUCCUGUCUGCAGUGUAACUAAUUUAACAAACAAAAUUUAAAAAUGUGAACAUAUGAAUACCAACAAAUAAACAUAAAGUAUAGACAUAUUAUAGUUAUAAGAACAAAAAAGUUAUACCUCCUCUUUGUCUUGCUUCAUUUAAAAGGCAAUCAACUAUUGUAGAUGAAUUGUCACUCACAGGGAAGACCCUUCCAUCUUCCUCAAUCUAAAGGCAAGAUUGUAAAAUUUAGUAGAAACUAUGUCUAUAUAUUGUAUGAAUGACUAAUAAUAAUGUCAAGAUUCAAGAAAGCUUACAUUUGUUUCCUACUUCCAUAUUCAUAAUCAUUAGGAAACAAGAAUAUUUUUAACACAUUUAUCCCUUAAUCCCUGCCCUCCAUACAUGAAAACUUCAUUAAGACAUUAACUUUAUAUAUAUAUAUAUAUAUAUAUAUUUAAUAUUCUAAUAGAAUAAUAUUAUAUGUUGUAUGUUUUUAUAAUCUAUAUGUAAAAUAUUUUAAUAGAAUAAUAUUCUAUGACAUUGUAAGUUAUAUGCAAGAUAUUCUAAUACAACAAUGCCUAAUUAAAUUUUGGCUUUUUUUAAUACUCAAUGAUAUGAUAUNAUAUAUAUAUAUAUAUAUAUAUUUAUAUAUAAAUGGAGCUUUCUAUUUCAUAUGGGAUGAUUGAAGAGGUUAACUGGUUUACUUUGGUCUGUAACUCCAUCAAUUUCAAAUCCUUGGCUGGAUUAUUAAGCUUUCUGUUUGAUUCUUCCAAAUCUUUUAUUCUUCUCAACAAAUCCAAAUUGUAUUCUCUGUUUUUUGUUUCGAGUUGUGCACGCUCACGAAGAAUCAUUAUUAAUCGUUCGAUGAACACAUCAUAGUUGUUUAUUUCUAGAUGAUCCAGUUGUUCAUUUCUUGUAUCAUCUUCACUUUCUUCUGUAGAACCAUUCACAAUUUUCUGAAGGUUAUCAAAGACUUCAUGUAUUACAUAGGCAGCAAGCUCAUUCGUUUGUUCUAAAUCCUUGAUUUUUUCACUUAUUUCCUUAAAAGAAUCUGAAAGUGAGUUACGGGUUUUGAGAGAAUCUUCAAGCUUUUCUUGCAAAUCUUUGAUUACUUCAAUGGCUGCAUCAACAGAAGUAGCCACACGAGCAAAGAUAUUGUCACCAACAAUUUCUUCACUUGAAUGAAUGAUGGAAAUGCCCCCAAUUGAUGCAUCAAGCUUUCUGUGAAGCAGCUCCAUCUGGUUACUGAAAGAAGCCAUGUCAUCCACUUGUAACUGCAAUUCAUGGAUUCUUGAUUCAGAGUUGUGAAGCUUUUCUGUAAGCUUUGAGUUUUGUGUUUUAGUGAUGAUACUUGUAAAUUGUUGAUUCUGAUGCUUUAUUCCAUAAACAAACACUCUACAGAGCCAAGUCUAGGGUUUCGAUAUCACAAAAGAGAAGUAUACCCUAUUUGACCUCCUCAAAAAAGCAAUCACGGAAUUAAAUAAUAGCAAAUGCAAGAGAAUAUAAUUGAGCUAAUUCAUUACCAUUGAGUGUACAUAUCCAGAAAAACGGUCUUAUCACCGGCGGCAUUAACGAUUGGCCAAAAUGUAUCCUUAUCAACCUCGGUAACUUGACCUACAACGACCGUUGGACCAGACAUCUCCAAGCUCGAUCUCACCUUCACCGAAGACCUCAAGUUUUUUCUGGUUUUACUAUCGAUCGACUUGGUUGAAGUAACGGAUCGGUGAACGUCUCUGUCGAUGGUAAACUGUUUAGUCGGCCAUGAUGACAGUGAUCAGUUGACAGCGGUGGCGGAAUCGUCCGGCAAACAUGAUGAAUUUGUAACGCCAUUAUAGCGAUGGAGGGCGGUUAUCUCGGAGUAUCUGAAUGCUUGGAAGGAGAUCUGACGGAGAAAGCUUGAUGGUACGAUAUCUUGUGUAAAAGUACGGAGUUGCCCUUGAGUUCGAUGUUGUACCGGAGAUUGUUGUGUAUCAAUUUAGGGCAAAAGAGAUGUUGAGUCGGUUUAGGGAUAGUACUCUUUAUUGGUAGUCAAAAUUAGUCAACCUUGUUUAUCCUCUUGUUAAACCAAUUAAUCAUGUUUACAAAAAUUAUCUAUAUAAUUAAUUUGGUCAAAAUUAGUCAGGCUCCUUAUUUAGUCAAAAUAUAAAUACAACACACUUUCUCAAAUGUGUUUUUCUUUUUAUUUUUUCAACUUUUUCCAAAUAUUAUUAUAGUAAUAUUUUUGAUAAAGACCAGUCAAUAAUGUAACCAGUCUUUGCGAAAUUAUANGACCACUGCUUUAUAGUCACUAAUUGUUUUUUCUUAUAAUUCAUCAGUGACCACUAUUGGGUGGUCACUAUUGUUUUUUCCCAUUUAAAGUGUAGACGUAAUAAGAGUGUGUAGUUUUAAAUAAGAGUGGUCAGUGACCACUAUUUUUGGUCACUAACCAUUUUUUUUGUCACUAAGCUUCUAACAUAUUGACCAUUAUUCUUAGUCACUAUAUAGUUAACAUAGUGACAAUUAUUUUUAGUCACUAAAUAGUUGUUAUGAUAUGAAACAAAAGUAGUUUAAUUUUCUCGCGUUUAGUGACUGUGUUAGUGACCACCACAUGUAAUUCGUCAUUAAAUUUGUAGGAUUACCAAAAUCCAGUGACCACUUAAUUUCUAGUGACUAAAAGAUGCUUUCAGUGACCCAAUUUUAGGUUGUCACUAAAAAUUAGUCACUAAUAAGGACUUUUCUUGUAGUGAUGAGAAAUUCCACAUUUCUCAAUUCAUAGAUGAUUUAUACCAUUACUGUGAACAAUUUGUGUUUAUGAAUAGCUAUUAUUCAUGUUCAACAAUUCCUUGUUGAAACUAGUGCCAACAAUUGUUACAUCAGGCAAUGGUUCUUGAACUACUUCAAGUUCCACGUGCCUCCCACUUGCUUUGUCAUUAGAAGAUUGUUUUUUGCUAACUCAGCUUUCAGAGGAAUAAAUGAACUUAUUCUUUGUAGGUUUGUAUAGAAUAAUCUAAAUGCCCUUUUAGAAUAUUCUAGAAUUAUGUAAUUUGUUGGUGUUUGUAUUCUAGAUACAAUUAAUAGUGAUUGAAGUAUAAUCUCAAAAAGGUUAAAAGGAGUACAUUUCUACUGAUUAGAAAGUAAACUAUAUCAAGUAAAGUUUAAUUCACCAUUUAUCAUCACGAAGGCUUUAGAAGGUAUUAUUAGGAAUCAUUUAUAUAUAAAUAAGAUUCGCAUAUGUUAAAUAAACUACAUUAUUUGCCUUCAAAGAUCCCUUUCUUGAAGUUGGAAUAUGUGGAUUUCAUAUAUACAAUAAAGAUAACAAUGUCAUGGAUAAGCUUGAUUUAAAACAUGUUUAUAAAAAUAAUUUUAUAAAGUUUGAGAAACUUUAAUAAAAUGAACUUAAUAAACUUUUGAUCUUUAAAAUGGCUACCAUCUUCAUUCUUUUUACAUUUUUAUAAAAAUAAACUAUUUCUAAAACUACUCUAUUACUUACAAAAAUUAACAAAAUAAAACUAUCUAUUUAAUUAUUACAUACCAUAUGAAUAAAUAAAUAAUUACAAUAAUUUUAAAUAAAUCAACACAUGCAACAACACAAAGGUCCAUGACUAGUUUAUGCACAUCAUAUAUAUAUUUAUACACUAAAAAAUAUAUAAAACAACUCUUUGUUUUUCUAAGACAACUUUUAUAACCAAAAAGAUGCAUGUAAACUUUUGGUCAAAAAAAUAACAAUUAUAAACAUUUUAAAGUUGUCAUAGAAAAUAUGUAUGGAUUUUUCUUGCAAUGAUAAAACCAUCCAUGUUUUCCAAAAACAAAGAUUUCAUCAACUAAACAAAUAAUCUAACUAAUCUUGCAAAAAUGGCUCUAAUACCAAUUGUUGGGUUUUUAUUCAAAAAUCUGGUUUCACAACCGGUAAUAUUGACAACGGAAUCUUUAAAAUAGUUGAAUAAAACUAAAACUAUUUUACCCACCAAGGAUCAUUUUGCAAGAGUUAGAAAGAUUAAAAAAAUCAUAAAAGGGAAAGCAUAACAACCUUUGAAGACUUUGAUCCUCACGGUAGCUUGGAAGUUGAUGAAGUGUGGCAUGAAACUCUAAAACAAGAGUUCUCUACAAGUAUCCACCAACCAAGAGUAGAACCAUCAAAACAUGCUAGUAUUCACAAUUUGUUGUUCAUACGUCUUUGAAAUAUAUACCAAAUAUAUGUUCAAAGGUAAAGCAACAAACGGACAUUCUUUGCAUUCGAAAUGCAAGAGAAUACAGGAGAAGAAGAGCUUGCAAAGAUCGAAAUUUGGUAGCCCUUUAGAGCCUCUCAUGCUCAUGGUUUUGACUCCGAAGAAGAAGGAGAAUGAGGCUUGCAAGAAGUGUUUCAAAACCCUUCCAUGCUCUCUCUUAUAUAAUGGCCAAAAAAUGAAAGGAGACCAUAAAUUAAAAGGAGAGACAACUUUGUCCUUAUCAUGGCAAAAGAAGACCAUGCUUGGUCUCCUUACAAUUUUCGAAAAAGCUAGCCAUAAUGAAGACAAAAGUUGCCUUAUGGCUAGUUUAUAUAUAUAUAUAUAUAUAUANAAUAAAAAAAUAUAUAAGGACUAAAUCGAUUGUGAGCCAUCACAAAAUUAUCAAUUCCAUUCCUAAAGGGACAUAAGGGACUUUUAUCUUGUAAAGUCUUCAUGUGCUCCCACUUGGUUCAACACAUUGUAGAAAGUUUAUAAAAAUAAUUUUAUAAAGUUUGAGAAACUUUAAUAAAACCAUCUUUAUAAACUUUUGAUCUUAAUGGCCACGAUCUUCAUUCUUGUUACAGUUUUUAUAAAAAUAAACUAUUUUUAAAACUAAUCUAUUACUUACAAAAAUUAACAAAAGAAAACUAUCUAUUUAAUUACUACAUACCAUAUGAAUAGCUAAAUAAUUACAAUCAUUUUAAAUAAAUCAACACAUUCAACAACACAAAGGUCCAUUACGAGUUUAUGCACAUCAUACAUAUUUAUAUACUAAAAAAAUAUAUAAAACAACUCUUUGUUUUUCUAAGACAACUUUUAUGAACAAAAGGAUGCAUGUAAACUUUUGGUCAAAGAAAAACAAUUAUAAACAUUUUAAAGUUGUCAUAGAAAAUAUGUAUGAAUUUUCUUAAAAAGAGAAAACCAUCCAUAUGAUUUCAUCAACUAAAAAAAUAAUCAACCUAAUCUUGCAAAAAUGGCUCUUGUUGGAUUUUUUUAUUCAUAAAUUUGGUUUCACAACCCGUAAAAUUGACAACGGAAGCUUUAAAAUUGUUGAAUAAAACUAAAACUAUUUUACCCACCGAUGAUCAUUUUGCAAGAGAUAGAAAGAUUAAAACAAACAUAGAAGGGAAAGCAUAACAACCUUUGAAGACUUUGAUCCUCAUGGGAGGUUGGAAGUUGAUGAAAUGUGGCAUGAAACUCUAAAACAAGAGUUCUCUACAAGUAUCCACCAAACAAGAGUAGAACCAUCAAAACAUGCUAAUAUUCACUUGUAAUUUGUUGUUCAUAAGAUUUUGAAAUAUAUACCAAAUAUAUGUUCAAAGGUAAAGCAAAAAAGGGGCUUUGUCUAGCAUCAAAAUGCAAGAGAAUGGAGGAGAAGAAAAGCCUUCAAAUUCUGAAAUUUGGCAACCCCUUAGAGCCUCUCAUGCUCACGGUUUUGAUUCCAAAGAAGAAGGAGAAUGGGGCUUGCAAGAAGUGUGUAACAAAACCCUUACAUGCUCUCUCUUACAUAAUAGCCAAAAGUGAAAGGGAGACCAUAAAACAAAAGCAUGGACAACCUUGUUCCAAGCAUGACAUGAAUUGAAUAAACAAUUCAAAAGUGAGCCAUGCUUGGUCUCCUCUUAUAUUUUCAAAAAAGCUAGGCACAAAAAAAGACAAAAAUUGUCUCAUGGCUAGUUUAUAUACACAUGCAUGUUAUCUUUAUAAAAAUCAAUCAUUUUUACAAAGAAUUCCCAACAUUUAUAUAACUAGUCAUAUAUAAAUGUCUUAUUUUACAUAAAAUUAUCUGUUAUAUAAAUUGUAACUAGCUUAAUUUAUAUAAAACUAUCUUUCGUAUAAAUUAAACUAGUUUAUUAAGAUAUAAAUAUAACUUAUAAAUAAUCAUACUUUAUGAUAUAUUUCAUAAGUUGUUAUUUCUCCAAUAAAUAUUAUUUCCACAAAUAAUAAAUUCCAAAUUAGUAAAAUAUUAUUUCCAUGAAAUAAGAAUUUUCCAAUUAAAUACAAGUGUUGAUAUAUUUAUUAAUAAUCAAAUUAUACUAAUAAAUAAUCAAUUCACGGUAACUUGUUAUAUGGUGUGACCCUAUAGGAUUAUAUAUUAUUAGCAAUGUCAUUCUAUAAUGACUGUUAGGCAUACUAGAUCUUUCAUGCUCCAAACGCAUUAAUGGAUCUCAUGAAUCGCGUAUGCAGACCCAUGUUGGAUCGGUUUGUGAUUGUGUUUAUUGAUGAAAUCCUGGUCUAUUCCAAGACCCAGGAGUAGCAUGAGUUGCACCUGAGGGAGGUAUUGGAGACUUUGAGGAGGGAGAGAUUAAGUGUGAAAUUCUCCAAGUGUGAGUUUUAGUUGCACGAGGUGCAGUUUCUGGGGCACCUUGUCAACCAGAACGGUAUUCUGGUAGAUCCGGCCAAGAUUGAGGCGGUGAUGAGGUGGGAGGUUCUAAGGUCUCCAUAUGAAAUUUAGAGUAUCCUUGGAUUGGCGGGUUACUAUCGGAGAUUCAUUCAGGAUUUCUCCAAGAUAGUGGUUUGCUUGACCUGACUGACAAAGAAGACUGUCACGUUUCGUUGAGGGCUGAGCAGCAGGCAACUUUUGAGACCUUGAGACAAAAAUUGUUUGAGGCACCGAUUCUGACCCUGCCAGAGGGUGUUGAGGACUUUAUGGUAUAUUGUGAUGUUUCGAUCACGGUUUUAGGUGUAAUGUUGAUGUAGUGGGGUCAUGUGAUUCCGUACGCGUCGACGCAGCUAAAGCCUCAUGAGGCGAGUUACCCUACACACGAUUUGGAGUUGGGGGCAGUGGUGUUUUCCCUCAAGAUUUGGCAACAUUGAUUCUAUGGGAUAUGUUGUAACAUCUACAUGGAUCACAAGAGCCUGAGGUAUUUGAUGGAUCGACCAAAUUAGAACAUGAGGUAGCACAGAUGGUCGGAUGUGGUGAAGGAUUAUGAUUGUGAGAUCCUUUAUCACCCAGGGAAGGCCAACAUGGUGGCCGGUGCUCUCAUCCGCAAGGUAGUCGUGGCUCUGAUCAGGGAUUUAUGUUUCAAGAUGACAGUGAUUACCCUAUUAUUAGAGAAGAUUCUAGAGGCUCAAAUUGAGGCUAUGAAGGAAGAGUACCAGAAGAGUAAGUGCAUUGUGGGACAAGCGGCUUUUUUCGAAUAUGAUAGUCAGGGGUUAUUGACCCUUCAUCGUAGGGUGUGGGUUCCAUACUGGGGUGUUGCGCGGUAGAUGUUGAUGGAAGAGGCGCACAAGUCGAUAUUCUAUAUUCAUCCCGGAGUGACAAAGAUGUAUAGAGAUCUCCGACCUGAUUAUUAGUGGUCGUGUAUAAAGCGGGAUGUGGCACGCUAUGUGGAGAUGUUCUUGACUUGCAGGAAAGUCAAGGCCGAGCAUCAGCGACCCCACAGCAAAAUGGAGCCAUUGGAUACUUCCAUUUGGAAAUGGGAAGAGACUACAAUGGAUUUUAUAACUAAAUUGCCUCGGACGGCGCACAGAAUGGAUUCGAUAUGGAUUAUCGUGGACCGAUUAAACAAGAGCGUGCAUUUUAUCUCAAUCCAGGAGAGUAUCCCUACAGAGAAGUUGUUAGACAUCUACACUCGAGAGGUUAUGGAACGUCAUAGGGUGUCGGUUUCUGUGAUCUCUGAUAGGGAUGUUCGGCUCACUUCUAGGUUCUGGAAGAGAUUUCAUGAGGAGUUGGGUACUCGUCUGCACUUCAAUACGACUUUCCACACUCAAACUGAUGGCCAAAGUGAGAAGACUCCCCAGACCUUGGAGGAUAUGCUCCAGGCUUGUGUAUUAGAUUUAAGUGGGAGUUGCGAUACGUAACUCCCUUUGGAGAAGUUUUCGUAUAACAACAGUUACCAUGUCAGCAUUGCUCGAUCUCCUUUUGAGAUGCUCUACAGGAAGAAGUGUAGGACCUCGAUAUGUUGGGAUGAGGUCGUUCAAUGAGUUAUGGGGAGUACCGAUGUGGUAAUCAAGACUACCGAGAUGAUUCAACAGGUUUGUGGUAGACUUAAGAUAGCGCAGAGUCGGAAGAAGAGAUACGCAGGCAGACUCUAGUCAGACUUGGAGUUCCAAGUCGGGGAUACGAUACUCCUAAAGGUGUCACCUUGGAAAGGCAUCAUCCGGUUUAAAAAGUGGGGUAAGUUGGGUCCCCAAGUAUAUCGGUCAUUUCCGGGUUGUAACUCGGGUGGGUAAAGUAGCGUAUCGAUUAGAUCUUCCAAAGGAGCUCAUUUAGAUUCACAGUUCUUUUCACGUCUCUUAGAUGUGGAAGUGUUUGGUUGAUGAUUCCCUAGUAGUUCCAUUGGAGGAUAUUCAAGUGGACGACUGCCUGAACUACAAUGAGAGACCGGUGGCGAUCCUUGACCGGAAGAUGAAUACCUUGAGGAACAAGGUUGUGGGGUUGGUAAAUGCGCAGUGGUAGAACCGGAAGGGUUCCGAGUGAACAUGGGAGCCUGAAGAAGAUAUGAGGGAACAUUACCCAGAGUUAUUUGUAACAGCAGACUUCGAGUACAAAGUCUGAUUCAAGUGGGGGAGAAUUGUGAAGCCCUAAUCGGCAGGUAAAAACUUUUGCAGUUAUUUUUAUUAUGCAAGGACUAGACCGGAGUACAUUGGGCGUACACAAGGUAUUCACCGCAUACACCCAUUCAUGCAUGAAGCGAGGAUGUCCCCUGCAUACUCUGGGCGUACCCAUGCGUACACGGGGCGUAUGCAAGCCAGGGGCAAACCCUAAUUUUUAGGGUUUCCACCCUAUUUAAGCUCAUUAAGUCCCUCAAACCCUUCACCUUAUCAGCUUCCAUUGACUUUUGAGAUAAUCUCGAAACCCUAGCCAUCUUAAGAGCAUUCUUGAGCUUACAAAGAGUUUUUUGGUGUUCUUUUGUGAUCUUGAAGAAGGAGGCUUGAGGAGAUCCAUUAGACAAGAAGGAGCUUGUAGAUCCAGAGGUUGUUCAUCAUUUCUAGCUCAUUGGAGGUAUAAAGUCUUUAAAUUGUUCAUUCUAAGUCUUGAUCUAGGUUUGGGGAAGAACUUAGCGGCUUUUGGUCCUAUAACUUGAUCUCAUGGAGUAUGGACUACUCCAGACCAUUUGAGUUUUCCUUUGGGAUCUUAAGGGUGCAUGAAGUCAUAAAAAUCGAAUCAUUGAGGUUAGAACUCAACCAUUCAUGAGUUGGUGACCUCUUAAGGGAGAUAGAAAGUUUAAUUCAUGGUUUAAGUCUAAUUAAGUCAAUCAAAAGCAUAAAGUUUGCAACUUGAUGGGUUAAUACACUUUAAUGACCAUGGAUAUGAAUUUGGACAGCAAAUGCUUAAUGGGUUAAGACAAUUCGAGAAGGUUGGUUUUUCGACCAAUACGUCGGGCUUACUCAUGAGUACGCUAUGCAUACUGGGCCAGCGCCCCGAUUCUGGUUCGGUGAUAGUGAUGUAUAUCGGGUGGACGAGUUAGGUACGUUGCACAUAUGUCCGUUUGUGAGCCUUAUGAUUUUUGGGCACGGGAUUAGAUGGGCUUUUAGCCUUGUUUGAUUUUGGGCCUUAGGUUUAAUUGUGGAAUCAAAUCAUUAGUGGACUUAAGACCAUCAGGGGGCUAUUGGUCCAAGGUUGGGCCUUAGGGUCCCUUUUAGUUGCACUUAGAAUUCCUUUUCAGCUAGUUUAGAUUCGGGCCUUAGUGGGUUAGGCCCAAUAAGGCAAGGGUUAAGAAGCCAUUUUAGGGUUUGGUAUGAUAUCCCCAUUUUCACAGCCAGAAAAAACCGAUUUGUUUAUGCUUUAUAAAAAUCAGAGUACUUAUUUUAAUAAAAAUGUUAUGGAAUUUGUUCCUAGAAAAACAUGAUAAAUACGUUAUCAAAGCAUUUUCAAAGAAAUGUAUUUUUAUUCAUUUAAAACAUUUGGGAUGUCAUUGUCAAUACAGAAACAUAAACAUAAACAUAACUUACAUUCAUUUAUACUAGUGAUCUACAUCACUUUUAAAUCUCUCAGUGCAAAAUAGCUUCGUAUCGACACAUGUGAUACAAAUAAGCUGGAGUGGGUCAGGUUGGGAAACCUGGUGAGUACAUAGGGUUUUCAACCCACAAUAAUAUAAUUAUUAUAUUUAAACAUCAAACAAUCAACCCGAUUACCCAUACCCGUUAUCUUCUUUGAUAUUCCUUAAAGAAUUAUCUUAAGGGUCAUCUCCUAUAUCAUAUUUAUCUCUUAUCUUUUUACCUCACAUUUCCUUAUAUGCUCGUUCCUAAGGCAUGAAUAUGUAGUUACAACGUCGCCUGAACUCAUAAUUCAUAGUAAGGGUUAGAGUAUCAUCACAUAAAUAUACAGUCACAACAUCACCUGGACUCGUAAUUCAUCACCUACAGGUUAUAAGUUUGCUGGUGUUUCCACAGGUUGUCCAGAAUAGUAAGUGGUCACCAUCUAUACUCUAGUAGAUGACUACAUCUCCAAAUUGUCGGACGAGGUUAUAGUAUCUUUCAUCCUACAUCAUCGAUUCAUCAUCACCUAUCCAUCACCUAAUUAUCAUCACCUUCCUAUUAUCACCUAUCUCUCAUCAUUUUAUUUCAUCACACACCAACUAUUUCAUCUACCCAUGUUUUAUCCCAACAUAUUUGUAGAUAUAAAAUAAAUAUAUAUUUAAAUCAUUUAAAACAUGUAUAAAAUCAUUCAUCCAUCAUAGACAGCAAGUAUUCAGAUAAUAUGCACACAUAGCACGUAAUUUAUAUAAAAUACUUCAUAUCUAUGUGUAAGAUGAAAGUGACCAUUCACUCACUUGAAAAGGUGGUGAAUCCAAACUCAGACAACACUUCGCUUCGUAAAAAUAAUUUCCUUCAACGAAACCUAGUAUUAUUACCACUAGGGUUUAGUCUAUUAUUCGUCGAGACUAAUUAAUAGUCUAAUUAUUAUUACUUUAUAUAAGCGUUAAACAAUACUUAUAUAACCCAUAAUAAUAGUCCAAGUACUUAUUAUAAGCUCCUAAUAACGUUACUAUAAUUAAAUAAAUGAUAUAUUAAAAAUAGCGUAGGCGUAGCUCACUUACAGCGGGUUUUAUAGAAAACCGGGCUNAGCUCACUUACAGCGAAUUUUAUAGAAAACUGGGCUUUGCUUGGAGCAGCGUUCCCGAGCCGAAAAGCUCUUCUUCUCGGAGCCUUCGGGCACUCCUGGGCUUUCACCUCAUGCUAGGGAGGUUCCCUCGGCUUUUCGAGGGGUUUUGGGGCUAAAGAGAGAUUCUAGAGAAAGAGUAAAGAGAAGGAGAAUGGGAAAGGUGUGAAGAAAAUGAGGGUGGGAGAGGUUCUAUUUAUAGGGUGAAAAUGACUGAACUUUGUGCCACAUGUCACCAUCUAGUGGCAAGACUUGGGGAGAAAGCAAUGGCCAAGAUUGUGCCACAUCACCCAUUUUCGCACAACACACUUUCGACUUCUAAAAUUCGUAACUUUCACAAACGAACUCCGUUUUUGACGUUAUUUAUAUCCACGCGUAGGUAAAAAUAAGAUCUACAACUAUGGUCUUCCCAAAUCCCGUGGAACAAGCUUUCCACAUGAAGAUGAUAUUCCACGAUUCGAUCGGGGAACAAGAGAUCAUGCUUCACUUCCUCCACCUCCUCCAAUUAUUCUCCCUAACCCACAAGUUCGAAGGCUUGAAAAGUUCAAGCUCACUCAAGCCCUUUUGGCAAGUAAACAUGAAGAAGGAAAGNACACGUCUUAGAGAUGAAGUCACACAUUGAUAGGUUAAGGAUGUUGGGUGUCGAGAUUUCAGGUAAGUUGGCUAUUGACCGGGUUCUUCAGUCGCUUCCUGAAUCAUAUAGUGAGUUCGUUAGAGAGUACUAUAUGAUAGAUCAUGACGUGACCCUAUUUGAUUUGACCUAUUUGCUUAUAGCUGUUGAAUCCGAAAUGAUUUGGCGAGCUAGUUAAGCAAAUUUGUCUGGUAAAUCAAACUCCCAAACUUCAAUGGAUAUUGAAAUGGUGACAUUGGAGAUCCAGAAAAGGUAGAUUCUGAGAUAGUUCCUUGUGCCAUUCCAAAAGAGUCCAUUUGCUUCUAUUGCCAAGAGAAGGGGCAUUGGAGACGAAGCUGCCCUAUUUACCUAAGAGAUCUAAGAAAUGGGAGAGUCAACAUAUGGCUCUACUUUAGGUAAAAUCCAUUAACUAUCUCUUUUAAGUUCCUAUUCUAGAUUCUUAAUACAUGAUGUGAUAAGAUUGCAUUUUGAUGUUUUUGAAAGAUCGAAGAAAAGAAAGGAAGCUUAAGGGAAGAAGUGAGCGGAAUCUAAUCAUGGCGAAAUGGAUUUCGAUCGCAUUACUUAAAGAUUAGAUUCUUGAGCUACUACUUGGAGUUAGAAUAGAUUGCUUAAGAAUAUGUAACAACAUAGUUUUUUCAGUUGAAUUGCAUUGUAAGGACAAAUUUUUCUGCAAUAAAAUAAAUUUUGAUUUUAUAUUAUUUAUUUAUCCUUGCAAUGACGUUUGUAAGUUUCUAUUAUUAGCAAUAAUGGAUUUGAUUCUUAAUUAUGUUCUUUGUGGAAAGGUCAAGAAUUUACCAAAUAGGGAAAGUUUCUCAUCCCCCAAGUUUCAAUUGGACAGAAACUUGGAAUCAUACAACUUGGUUGCAUGAUGAAUGAGAAAUUUCAUAUUUGGAAAUUAGACUAAUUCGUUGACAAAGUGUCAAGUGAAGGACUAGGAGAUCGAGUACACAAGGUUGUGUGUUGAUCAAGUCCACCACAAGAGUGACAAAGAUAUUCAUCAUGAUUUACUAAAGGUUUAGUAAAUAUGAUUAUACUUAUAAGAUUAAGUGUAAUUCCAAGUUGAUUGAAAGAGUUUAAAUCAAUAGCAGAACGAAUAAAGAAGAAUCAAAUAGGCAGAAAGAUAAAAGUUUCUCAAUUCUAAAAAGAAGGGAGAGUACUUUUAUUAUGUUUUAUGAUAGGUCUUAAUGAUUAAUAACCAUAUCUCAAUUGAUCCUCUAAGUGAGUCUUAGUGCAAUUGUAUGUCUGAGAAGAGGAAUUGAGAAUUGAAGAAAUGGUUAAAUCAAGAAGUCAAUCAUACUUCGUUCCAAAAACAAGUCUUAGAGUUAAGAUUGUGACAUUGAGUGACAAGUCUUAAGAANUUAUAACACUCAUCAAAUGUGGAAUUUGGAAAAGAUUUUCUUAUUCUUGCACAUUUGAAAUUGGAAAGUUGUGAUGUCUUGGAUAAGACAAAGACCAACUAGGACCAAUUUUGUGAAGUGUUUUGUUUUGAUAAAAGCUACUCUUGAAUAUUUGUUUGUCGAGAAAUGUUUAUUAAAAAAAGAAUCUUAUAUGUUAAGGAGUUAGCAGGAGUCUUAACGGUCUUGAAAGGUUUCAAGAACUAAUCAAGAAUAAACCUUAUCAAUCAUCACUAGCACACGACUUGAGGUUUAUGACCUAUCGUGUUGACAUUAUUUUGUUUCUAUGCCAUUCCAAUGGAGUUAAUUAUGCAUGUGAGUUCUAUGAGUUCUCAUUUGAACGCAUAAAAGGCAAGCACCUUGAUCAAUGAAAAGUACAUUGAUAGGAAAGGGUGAGCUUCUUAACUACUUGGAAGACAUGGUGGGCACUCGUGUUACCAUAAGGCAAGAAAUCAAGAUUGAGAAAGUUCGGUCCAUAUGAGUUUGGAUUUGUGGCAAACUUUGGUUUUGGCAAAUUCGCAUGGACAGGAACUCAUACACCAUAAAAUCUAAGUGUCAUAAGAUUACCUCCUUCAUGAAAAUAACUGUGAAGAAAUUCUUUCACUAAGAGAGAUUUUAAGAAGAUAGCGAUUGUGAAAUUGUAUUCUCGAAUUCGAUUAUGGUUACGGUAUCCCUUUCCAUAAUUCGAAUUGUGAGAUUUGGCG